GGAAGACGCUGAUGUGGGAUCAUCCCGAUGCUCAGGCUAUUCUUCAACCUCAUCUAAAAAAAAAGGGAUACCCUAGAGGUUAAUGAGUUUAAUUGAUAUAUGAUUGCUUCACUUCUUAAAAGUCGUUGCAAAGAUGUAGCUUUUCUGUCUAUAUAGUCAUGCAGCUCUCAUAGUGGCCUUUUGCAGAACUUUUCGCCAAGGGAAUGGUUCUCCUGUGACUCUGCUCUUGAAGAAAGCCUUGUUGCUCAACCGUGCUUUCCUGCAAACUCGACUCAGGUUGCCAUAUGAAUUGACCUUUUCUGUGUGGCCAUGCUUUGUCUAUUUUGAAUGCGAUCACAUGUUUUAUUGACUACUAGAAAUAAGUGAAUCUGGUCGAUAUUUCAGGUUAGUCAAAAAGCAACGGAUCUGAAGAUUUGGGAAGCCAAGGGAAUAGCAAAGCCUGUUUCCUAUCUUGUCUUAUAACUGAAAGGACAAGUUAUUAUUAUGGAUUUAUCUCCUUGGGAUAUUAGCCUUCUAAGAAAAGAGGGAAUUUUGUGCAGCACUACCUUUAAUCUGUUUUUGUUUAGAAAGGAUUUCAAAUAUGAUAUUGCUUUAACUUGUCGAUCGAAAAUAUUGUGUCAAAUACGCUGCUUCCCUCUGUUGGAUCAGAGCAACAUGACCCCGAUUAAACUUGUUUCGACAUUAAACUAUCGGGUAUAGAAUACUUGAUCUGCUUAGUAGUUGUAUCAUAUCUGGAAACGUAGGCUGGGAAGUUUUCUCUUCACCCGUUGUCAUACUUUGAGUUAGAAAUGUAAAAAGACGAAGAAGAAAGAAUUGCAUAGUUAUCGCCCCUCUUUAAAUGCCUCAAAGUUGUGGAUAGAUGGAGAAACCUACAGCUUCAGCUCAAGUUACCAAAAAUUAGAGCAGUAACCACUAGCAAGUCAAUGGAAAAAGGGCCAGCUUAUAGGACGUGGCACUUUUGAAAGUGUUUACAUUGCAAGCAACCAGUAAGUUAGCUCUGGGAAUCUUAGACACGUUCCAUUUUUUAAGAUAUCCAGUCAGCUAAACUUUGACAUAUUAAGUGACAGAAAAACCGGAUCUCUAUGUGCACGGAAGGAGUUUGAGCUAUCGCCUAAUGAUCCAAAUUUAGCUGAGUGCAUCAAGCAGUUAAAGCAGGUAAUGUUUUUGUUAUGCUCUGGGAUCCAAUCUAUUCUCUCAUCUGAUCUAAAUAUGCUGGGAGGAAACUUUCUUUCAUCAUUUCCAGGUAAUUGAUUGUUACUACAGGAAAUUCAGGUACUUAGCCAGCAUAGACAUCCGAACAUUCUGCAGUAUUAUGUCAGGGAAAUUGUGAGUCACAUUUCCACAGCACCUAUGCAUCCCAGCUCAAUGGGCGUUCAUUAUUUGACUCGCCAAAAUUUCAACAUAUUCAUACGUACUCAGGUUGAGGAUUGGCUUUACGUAUAUCUAGAAUAUGCACAUCACGAUUCAAUAGACAAGUAUAUCCAAGAGCGUCUUGGGACCCUAACAGACUCGGUUGUCCACACUUUACCCACUAUAUUGUGGCUGGAUUGGCUUCCCUGCAUGUUAACAACUCCAUACAUGGGUAAUUCUAAACCAUUGAUCAAGCAUCAUGAGAUGGCUUGUGCAGGGAUUUAAAGGGAGCUAAUUUAUUUGUGGAUGCAUCUGGGAUAUUCAAACUUGCUGACUUUGGAAUUGCUAAACAUGUGAGUUUUUACCUCUUCACUGCAAGACAACUCAGUGCAUGUAGAAAUUACUUGAUGAUCUGUGGUGCAUUCGAAUGUGAAGUCAGGGACCCAGGGUGACUGCGAACUUCUCAUUAUUGGUUUGUGGCAUUUCAUAUGUGCAAAAAUCUAUCACAGGUGGAUGAAAUGUUAUUAAGUAAUUUUCUUCACUUUUUUUCCCAUUGUUUCAGGUAAAGUUACCAUGUUGCAUAAACAGGAAAAGAUUUCUUGCUUUAAAUAGAUGCCGAAACCUAAUGAGAGUUCUUUCCCUUUCUACUGGUUUCUAAAAAGUUCCUAAGAGCAGUAGUGAAUAGAACGCAAUACCUUUGGCAAAAGGUUGUGGUGUUGUUUUUGCUGCUCCUCUGCAUUCCAAAAUAGGAUAGAAUUUAGUCAGAGUAAGCAAGGGCCUCCUUCCUAACAUGGGGUAAAUAAAAGUGUAUUGAUCCAUAGAAUGGAAUUCUGGAUAGUAGCCAAGGUGUUGUUGCUCUCUUUUUGAGUUCUCAAGCAUUUGCUGAGGUCAUGUUGUUGAUUGCUUCAAGUUGAAAGUGGUUGAUUCAGUAAUCAAUCUGAUGUAUCUAUGUCUAUAAAGAUGUUGCUAUUUUAUCCAGUGUUCCAUGAACACACCAAGUAGUCUUCAGCUUUACUAAUGCUGUACCAUUUCUUAGCUAACCGGACAAGCAGCUUGCUGCUCUUUGAAGGGAAGUCUAAACUGGAUGGCUCUAGAGGUACUCUGCUUUUGUUAACGUUAAUGCGGCAUUCUUUUUUAGUUGUGGCGGAAUGAUGGAAUAAUAUGUCUUGCAACUCAUACAAUCCUUGAUGGUGAAUAAUUACAGCACGGAUCUCAAUCAUACUGCCGACAUGUGGAGUUUGGGAUGUACUAUUACCGAAAUGAUUACUGGGAAACCUCCUUGGACUAUGAGUGAGUAAGUACGCUGCACUGUUUUUUUUUUUUUUCAUUUUCUCUCUAUCCUUCCUGGUAAUACGCUUCCAAGCAAAUCUGUGUUGUCGUUUUCUGUUGGAAGUUCGGGCCAUGCGCAUUACCAUUUGGUGUGUGAUCUGUGUCAUGAGUUUCUAUUUAAGGUUGAAUUAUUAAUGCAGGCUCAAGCUAUAUUUAAGGUGAUGCGAAGUUCUCCAGUAAUACCUGAGACGUUAUCUGCCGAGGGAAAGUAGCUGCGGAGAGGCCUUCUGCUGCUAUGCUACUUGAGCAUGCUUUCCUGCAAAUUUGAAGUUGCAAAUGAUUGACUUAUUUCAAGUGUUGUACGUUGUCGCAAAAGGGAUUUGUUGUCCUGUAAAGUUCCAUAUUUACUAAACCAAAAGGAUCACACGGUCCAUAGAUGUGAUGAAGUACUUGUAUAUUGACAAAAUAAGGCACAUACUUCUCUUGCAUGGUCUGACUGGCGGCAUACCAAUCUAGGCAAUUUGACAGUGUUGCUUAAUCUAAACCUUUUACUGCAUAGUGCAUUCUUACCAAAAACAUUUUGUACGAAGUACAUUUAUUCAUCAAAAUGGAAUGGUAUUGAUUUGGCUCCAAAUAAGCAAUAGGUCACGAAACACAAGCAAGAAAACCCAGAAAAGAAAAAAGAAAAAGAAAACCGAAGCUAUAGUGCAUCAGAAUUCCUAAACUCAUUUUGAAAGUAAAUACUUUGUCGGUUUGGUGGGAGAAACAUUGGCAAGUUUGGCAAACCUGCAAUGUCUUCGGAUUGCGGUAGUGAAGGGAGUAGUAUCGAAAUUAUGGGCAUUGGAGGCUCUUGAUUCUUCCCUUCAACAGUGUCGUUGAUCUCAAUAAAUACAUGAGAUUUCUCCAACCAAAAUGGCCCUCAUCAUAUUGUCACCAAAUUCCAGUGAAUCAAGAAAAGCCAUUGUGGUCUGCUUGCAAAUGUAAAUGAUCAUGAUGAUCCAAGAUUUGCAGCUUCCGAGAGGGGAAUUCACGUCGAUUGUUGCGAUUAUGCUCUUGUCAGGGCAGUAGGGGAAAGUCUUUCGCCUGAUGGUUUUGCUCCCAAGUGAUGCUGCAAGUUUGCCGUAUUUUCCCCUUAGGGUUGUUUGUCAUUUUGUGGAACAUUUUUAGAAUAAUUUUGCAUCCCGUGUCUAUAAAAUGCAAAUAGCCGAUGAAAUCUAUUGAAAACAUCUCAAGCUAUUCAUUUACGAGAUUUUAAUGGUUCUUAUAUGUAUAUAAUUUACCUUCCCUUACUUGUUCAAAUUUUUAGGUUGGACUUUCACUUAUGUGAAAAUAGCAAUUUGUGCGUGAAUUGCAAAGCAAACAUACUUCCUUUUUUUCUAUUUUUUUUCUACAAUUAAAGUGAUUCCUCUAUCCUAAUGCAUACCGGAAAUAUAUGAUAUGAAUGACAAAGUGUAACAGAAAAAUAAACUCCUCGAAAUUUUGCAAAGUCGGAGGCGCCACUGAGGCCGAGCGAUAUCUCUCGGUUGCAUUGGAUUCUUUCUUCGAUUUCAUUUUCUUUUGUUCUUUUCCUCAUUUUUGAACCAACAGCCUAACCAUGAGGCGCCUUUUCUCUUCUGUCCCUUAUCUGUACUCCUUUUCUUUCGUACAACUCGUUCUUCUUUCGCUGCUUUUUGGAUUUUUUUUUCUUGGUGUCCUCUGCCCAAACCCUUAAUGAAGACAACUAAUCGGUGUUUAGUUUUCCAAAGUGUAGCAUUAUUGAGCACCAUCAUCGACCAUCAAGUUCGCUAAACUCAGUCAUCAAUUAACUAACUGUUCUUGUUAAACAGGAGCUGCACCAACGNNNNNNNNNNNNNNNNNNNNNNNNNNNNNNNNNNNNNNNNNNNNNNNNNNNNNNNNNNNNNNNNNNNNNNNNNNNNNNNNNNNNNNNNNNNNNNNNNNNNAGAUCCAAACUACAUAUGAAACUGGACUCGUAAUUGGGAAAACAUGAAUUUAGCAUAUUAUACAUUGCUCCUAAAUAAUUUUAUGCACAUGCCAAAUAACAAGUACAUGUAUAAGUUAAGGCAAAUAGGUCUUUAGCAAAUUGACAAUGCAGAAACCGAGAGAGCGUAUGAAGUGAUCUUUGCAUUUUUGAAACUCUGUUAGUGUACAUUCUAGUAGUUUUCCCUUGUCAAAAUAUACUGAUUUUCAACUUUCGCUGAAAUGUCACACGUUCAAUUGGGGGAGAAUAUGAUCGAUAGUCCUAAUUAGCCAAGUCACAAAACCAAUCAUAUAUUUAAAUAGUUCAGAAAUCUUUCUGUUCAUUCUAAUUAAUAAUCGCAUCAAAGAAUUUUUCCCUAAACCUUUAUAUUCAGUCAUAGUUACUACUUUUCAGUUCACUCUUUGAAAGAUUCCCAUGAUCUCUUCAAAUAAAUUAAAAUACAAUUCAGGGUUAGUGGUCGUAACUUUAUCUAUUAGGUAUAUAGCUUAAUGCUCAUUUUGAAUGAGGGCAAAAGGUCACCCCGUUUACAUUCACGUGUUUGUCACAUUGUGAUGGGAAAAUGGGAACGAAAUGCAAGUUCAGAGGCACAGGAUGCAACUUUCUAAAUUUCCAUUUUCAAAUGCAUUGGGUUCCCUUUUCCCCAGUCAUCUCUUCUUAAUCAUCCCGGUGCAAGGACAGGACUUUCCCUGGACAGUGAUGCACAACAAGCCAUUAUCAUUGUACUGAAGUGAAUCUGUUUCCUUUGAUCGUGGACGAUUCUAUGCUCCCGAAAUCGGGGUAAUAUAUGAUGGGGUGCGCUCUAUUUGCUUGCAGGUUCGUAACAAAGAGGAUAUAGCUUGGAAAUUCGUCAAUAGAUUGGAGGACAGCAAAUGGCGUUGUUAUUACUGCCGUGGAGAAUUCUUUAAAGACCUUACAGGAGUGAAAGGUCACUUGCUUGGAGUCCCAAAUGAAGGGAUUUCCAUUUGCACACAAGUGCCGGACCAUGUAAGAAAGAUAAUGCAGUCGUUACAAGAUGAGAUGGCUGAAGAAGAGAGCAGGGGAGCCAAUGGUCAAUCCUCCGCGGAACCACAGUCACGUGGCAUGCCCGCUCAAGCUGAGGUGGCUGAAGAAGAGAGCAGAGAGGCCAACGGUCAAUCCUUCACAGAACCACAGUCACGGGGCAUGCUGCCUCAACCUGAGGUGGCUGAAGAAGAGAGCAGAGAAGCCAACAUUCAAUCCUCCACGGAAACACAAUCCCGCGACAUGCCCACUCAAGCUGAGGUGGUGGCUGAAGAAGAGAGCAGAGAAGCCAACGGUCAAUUUUCCAGGGUCUGUUGAAUAUUAAUCUGCAGUUUUGCUUUCCUGCUUUACUACUUGUGGAUGCUAUUAUUUGCUUGAGAAUAAUGCUAUGCGCAUUAGGAAAAUGUACACAAGAUUGAUAGGUUAUAUAAUCGGGCGUGCUCUCUUUGCCUGCAUGUUGAUAAUCAAAAUGACAAGAUGCCGCGAGUUAAAGAUGCCGUGAGUUAAAGAAAUAGCCUGGAAAUUCGUGAUUAGACUGGAGGGCGAGAAAUGGUGUUGUCCUUACUCUGGAAAAGUUACAAGAGUGAAAAGUCACUUUCUUAAACAUUCAAACAGAGGCAUUUCUCCUUGUAAAAAAGUGCCGGAGCACAUAAGCAUGCUAAUGGAUUGGUUACACAAUCAGGUGCCUUUAAUGCUUGUGGUAGCUACAUUGUUUGCCUGAGAAUGAUGCUAGCGUGCUAAGAAGAUUUAUGAAAAAUGGGGAUAAUAUAUGAUGGGGUGUCGCUCUAUUUGCUUGCAGGAUCGUAACAAAGAGGAUAUAGCCUGGAAAUUUGUUGAUAGACUGGAGGACAACAAAUGGCGUUGUCAUUACUGCCGUGUAGAAUUCUUUGGAGACCUUAUGGGAGUGAAAGGUCACUUGCUUGAAGGGAUUUCCAUUUGCACGGAAGUGCCGGACCACAUAAGAAAGCUAAUGCGGUCAUUACUCGAUGAGGUGGCUGAAGAAGAGAGCAGAGAAGCCCACGGUCAAUCCUCCGUCGAACCAAAUUCCCGUGACAUGCCGAGUCAAGUUGAGGUGGCUGAAGAAGAGAUUAGAGAGGCCAACCGUCAAUUUUCCACGGAACCACAGUCGCGUGACAUGCUGUCUCCAGCUGUUCCUCGGUCAUCACAAAGCUUGGAAGAUACAGAAAACUUAUUCACAACAACAGAGUGGGCGACUGACUUGGAAAACUUAGACUAUGACCUAGAGCGUCAUUUUCUUGAGACUUUGGCAAUGCCGCCACCGGCGCAAAAUAUUCAUGGUAUGUUCAUGUGAAGUUUCUAUACAUGCAUCUAGGCAUGGAGAAAAAACAUAUAUUAUAUUCAAACACGUCGGGUUUUUUAACCAAAGUGGAGACUUUUAAAUAUCUUCUAUAAAAACGAUCUUCCUAUGGGACUUUCCAAAUGUAAAGAAAGUCAAAUCACCUAUUCCUUAAUAACAGUGCAUUGAAUGUGUUGCACCUGUCCAUUGGACCCAUUGGAUCCAAUAAACUAACUACAGUAGGUAGUCUUUUAUGUUCCAAUCAACUAUAUCCUAAUUUUGAUGAACUUCACGCAGAUGAAAACAUACCAUUUUCAACGAUAGCUUUAGCAGAAGUAGAAUCGGAUCUUCUUGAUCCGCCAUGUCAGCCACAAUAUUCCAAUCGAUCUCUUUAUCGCGAGGAAAUGCAAAUGAAUGACCAGCAGACUCCAGCAGGGGCAUUAUCAUUCCAGUAUGUUCCAUUACCUGCUGUAGGUAAUUCAAAUUGCUUGCAGGACUGCAAUGACUCUCAAUUGCAAACGCCAGUGGACGUAGAUCCCUCAAUUGCAUCACAGCGUACAAAUCACAUUACUGGGGCACAAAUCAAUUAUUUGAAAGUUCCAGAGGCAGCAACAAAUACAACAGGCCCAUCAUCAUCACAGGGUUUGUAUGGAUUAAUCUACAUUGCUACUAUGGUUAUAUUAGAUACUUGAAUAUCUCCAUAUUAUUUUAUUGAAAUCUAACAUAUGAUUUUUUAAACAAGAUAGGAACAUGGAUUAUCCAAUCAAGAACAUGCUGAGCAUCAUUGCAUAUUCUAUUUGUCUGAUAUCAGUUUUUAUCACACCAUUACUUUCUUCAAAAUAUUUAACUCUAAUGCGGUCGUUACUCGAUGAAGUGACUGAAGAAGAGAGCAGAGAGGUGGCUGAAGGACAAAGCAGAGAAGCCAACCGUCAAUCCUCCACGGAACCACAAUCACGUGACAUGCCUGUAAGACAAAAUAAUUUAUAUACAGAAGCCAGGAUCAAUUAAAGACAAACCUCCAGCCAUUGUUUUGUUCACAUUCGUCAGAAAACCUGAAAUCAAAGAAAAUUGGGGACACUCUACUACCCAAUUCACUCUCGUACUGAUGGUGUAUUCUGAAUGAGAGGGUUUGAGUUAGACAUUGUCAUCAUCCGUCAGAAAUGAACGUACGUUCCUAUUUAUACACUGUCUCCCAUCAAGACGGGCGGUUGUCACCAAAUGGUACGAAGCGUGGAAAACUUUAUGUUGAACAGUCGCAACCUUUAGAGAAAAUAAAUGUGGGAUCAUAAAAAUAAAUAACAUUCUCCCACUUGAUCCCAUCAUUUUCAUUAUACAGAUUAUCCAACUAAUUCCACAAAAACUUUAUGCUUAAAGAAAAGAAACAAAACACAUGGAUCAUGGCGACAUGUCCUCUAAGAGUGAGUAAUAUCUUCCAUGUAUCACAAUGCACCUUAUUUCUUUAAUGUCAGCCUAUAUGUGACAACAAAUCUUAAUGAAUAAACCCCAUGUUUAUUCCAAAACCAAUGAUAAAUGUUAUUCUCAUAAACAACAAAAUGUGUACACAAAAAUUGAGAAUCAACAUUACAACUGAAUAAGAGUUUCAUACAACAAAAAUCGUUCAUAUAACGACAAAUUACAUAAUGGGACCUAUUCCCAUACUAGUUACAUGAUCCUUAUACUUCAUUGGUGGCAUGCCUUUAGUUAAAGGAUCGGCUAUCAUCAAUUCAGUGCUAACGUGUUCAAUGACCACUUUAUUCUCCUUAACACGUUCCCUUAUGGUUAAAUACUUAAUGUCGAUAUGCUUACUUUGACUGCCACUUUUGGCAUUUUUAGCCAUAAAAACCGUAGCUGAAUUGUCACAAUAUAUUCUUAAUGGCCUAGAAAUUGAAUCAAUAAUUCUAAGCCCAGCAAUGAAACUCUUCAACCAUACACCAUGCGAGGUAGCCUCAAAACAAGAAACGAACUCAGCCUCCAUAGUGGAAGUAGCAGUCAAAGUCUACUUGGCAUUUCUCCAUGACACGGCUCCGCCAGCUAAUAUAAAAAUGUAUCAAGAUGUUGAUUUUCGUGAAUCAAUGUAUCCCGCAAAGUCCGCAUCCGAAUAACCAACCACUUCCAGGUUGUCAGUCCGUUUAUACAUAAGCAUAUAGUCUUUGGUACCUUGAAGGUAUCUCAUCACUUUCUUUGCAGCUCUCUAGUGGUCUAAACCUGGAUUACUCUGAUAUCUUCCCAACAUUCCCACAGCAAAAGCGAUGUCAGGUCGAGUGCAAACCUGAGCAUACAUUAAGCUUCCAACAACAGAAGCAUAUGGAAUGUUGUGCAUUUGUUCCCUUUCUAGAUCGUUCUUCGGGUAUUGGUUCAAAUUGAACCUGUCACCCUUCACAAUGGGUGCUAUACUUGGUGAACAAUCUUUCAUCCGAAAUCUCUCUAGAACCUUAUUGAUAUAGGUUUCUUGAGAUAGUCCUAAAAUGCCUCGAGGUCCAUCUCUAUGGAUCUUAAUGCCAAUGACAUAAGAUGCCUCACCCAUAUCCUUCAUGUCAAAACUCCUAGAGAGAAAUUGUUUCACCUUAUGUAGCAACCACUUAUCAUUGGUUACAAGUAGUAUAUCAUCCACAUACAGUACAAGGAAACAAAUUUUGCUCACACUGACCUUCUGGUAUAUACAUUGAUCCAUGACAUUCUCUACAAAACCGAAUGAAGAGAUGACUUCAUGGAACCUUAAGUACCAUUGGCGGGAUGCUUGUUUCAAGCCAUAUAUAGAUUUCUUAAGUUUGCACACCAAAUGCUCACCUUUACUAGAGGAGAAUCCUUCAGGUUGUUUCAUGUAAACCUCCUUCUCUAGUUCUCCAUUGAGGAAUGCUGUUUUCACAUCCAUCUGAUGUAAUUCCAUAUCAAAAUGGGCAAUCAAAACCAAAACAAUACGAAGAGAAUCUUUCUUAGAUACAGGAGAAAAAGUCUCCGUGUAGUCGAUUCCUUCCUUUUGAGUGAAUCCUUUGGCAACAAGUCUAGCUUUAUAUCUUUCAAUGUUACCCAAUAAAUCAUUCUUAGUUUUGAAGACCCAUUUACAACCAAUGGCCUUCACACCAUUAGGUAACUCAACCAAAUCUUAAACUUUGUUAGAUGCCAUUGAACUCAUUUAUUCCUUCAUGGCAUUGUACCACAAAUUGGAUUUAUCACUAUCCAUGGCUUGUGAAAACGUUUUGGGAUCAUUCUCAGCUCUAAUAUUGUAGUCAAACUCUUGUAAAUACACAAUAUAAUCACUAGGAAUAGCCGAUUUCUUUAUUCUAGAAGAUCUUCUCAAUUUUGCAUCGACAUUCUCUUGAGGUGCGUGUUGCUUAACUAGUUGUUCAACAGUUUCUGGUAAUUAUUGAACAACUGGAUCUACUAGAUCAAUAUCAACAGGUUGUGGAACUUCAACGAUUGGUUGUUCAAUAGCCGGUUGAACUGAAUAGGCAUUAUAAGCAACGACCAACCCUAAACUUGAGGUGGGAGGAUGAAUGUCUGGAUGAUCUUUCUUAGGAACAAGGUCCUUCGAUUGAUCACUCCCACUAAUCAAGUCAUUUUCAAGAAAUUUAGCAUUUCUUGAUUCCACAAUCCUAGUAGUGUGAGAUGGACAAUAAAAUCUGUAUCCCUUAGACCUUUCGGCAUAUCCAAUGAAAUACCCACUUAUGGUCCUUGGGUCCAACUUCUUUUCUUGUGGAUUAUAAACUCUCACUUCAGACGGGCAUCCCCAAACGCGCACAUGAUGCAAACUCGGUUUCCAACAUUUAAAUAAUUCAAAAGGUGUCUUUGGGACAGCUUUGGUCGAAACUCGGUUUAAUAUGUACACUGCCGUCUUAAGUGCUUCAGUCCACAAAGAUUUAGGAAGUUUGGAGCUGCUAAGCAUGCUACGCACCAUGUCCAAUAAGGUCCGAUUUCUUCUUUCCGCUACGCCAUUUUGGUCCGGAGAACCAGGCAUAGUAUAUUGGGCAACUAUCCCAUGCUCUUGAAGAAACCUUGCAAAUGGACUAGGUGCUUGUCCAUCUUCAGUGUAUCUACCAUAGAAUUCUCCACCCCUAUCUGAUCUCACGAUCUUAAUUUGCUUAUCGCAUUGUUUCUCUACUUUCACCUUAAAUACCUUAAAGGCAUCUAAUGCUUCAUACUUAUUAUGAAUCAAAUAGAGAUACAUGUAACGUGAGUAAUCAUUUAUAAAAGAGAUGAAGUAUUUCUAACCACAAGAGUCCAUAUCCGAACUACAAAUAUCCCUGUGUAUGAUUUCUAAUAUUUCUGUACUCCUCUUGGCACCUUUUUUUGUCUUGUUAGUCUGAUUUCCCUUUAUGCAGUCCACACAAGUAUCACAAUCAGUAAAAUCUAAAGUACCGAGUACUCCAUCAUUUACUAAUCGCUUGACUCUUUCUAUGGAAAUAUGUCCCAAUCUCCGAUGCCACAACAUAGAGGAAUGUUCUUUCACAACACAUCGUUUUAUACCAACUUUAUCAUGAACAUGCAUCGCAUCAUAAUAGGCAUUGUCUUGUAAAUUAAUUCGAAAAAGACCAUCAGACAAAAUACUACUCCCAACAAUUUUAAAUUUAAAUGAUAAACAAAAGUUUGAAUCUGAAAAGUUAAAAAAGUAUCCCAAAGGUACAAGUCUUGAAACUGAAAUUAAGUUUCUAGAAAAACUAGGAACAUAAAAGGUCUUUUCCAAAUUUAAAACAAAACCACUAUUGAGAACUAGUCUAUAUGUCCCAAUAGCUUCUACAUGCGAACGCAUCUUAUUUCCUGAAUAGAUGCUUUGUUCACUUCCCACUGGCUUCCUGUGGUUUUGAAAACCCUACAAGGAAUUCGAAAUAUGGAUUGUAGAUCCAGAAUCAAUCCACCAAGUGUUGUGACUUACAUCAAUCAUAUUAGAUUCAUAACAAACACGAGAUUUGAUUACCUUUCUUCUCAAGCCAAGCCUUAAAUUUGACACAAUCCUUCCUUAUAUGCCCCUUCUGUUUAUAAAACAAGCAUUUGGAUUCUUUCUUAAUGUCAGCUUGGGGAGGUAUUUUACCUUUUCCCUUAUGCUUGCCAUAGCCCUUAUUCUUUCCUUGUAUUGUCAAAUGAGCCACUUUCUCCCAAUUCCAUAACCAGUCUUUCUUCGUCUUGAACACACAUGGUCAUGAGUUCAUUAAUAGACCAUUUAUUCUUAUGUGUGUUAUAAGAGAUCUUGAAAGGUGCGUAUUGUUGUGGGAAAGUGUUCAGAAUAUAAUACACAAGGAAGGAUUCAGAUAUCUCAACCUCAAGGUUCUUAAGCUGAGUUGCAAUGUUCCUCAUUUGCAUGAUGUGCUCACGCACACCUCUAACACUAGUGAGCUUCAAUGAUGAAAACUUCAUAAUCAGGGUCAUGGCAUGCGCCUUCUCAGAACUUUCAAAUUGCGCAUCUAUGGCCUCCAAUAAAGCCUUAGCAUUGCUAUGCUGAGCAACCGAACCACAAAUACUAGGAGAUAUCUGAGCUCUUAUAAACAUAGCACAAACAUGGUUGGACCGCUCCCAUUGGUUAUAAAGAGCUAUCUCAGCUAGAGUGCUCGAAUCAGUAGGAGCAGGUGGUUCGUCUUUCCUUAUAGUAUAGUCAAUGUCCAUCCACCCCAAUUGAAGAAGAACCGACUCCUUCCAAACUUUAUAGUUCUCACCAUUCAGUAUGGGAACAUCAAACUUAAAUUCAGAGAAAUUCACAUGUUGCGAAACUGCAUAUCAAAUAAUCAUACUUAUGUCACAAAAUUUGAGGCAAAUAUGUAUAAAUAAAUCAUAUUUUACCAAUGUAAACAUGUCACAAUAUGAAUCACAUAACAUAAAAACUUCAUGUGGGCUAAGUUUUUAAUUUAAAUAGAUUCAUAAUUACUUCAUGAAGAAACUACCAUAUUAUAUGCAUUUUCUUAAUCCCUAUGGGUAAAUUAAGAAAAAUAAUAUGAUAUUUCAUCCUAAUUAAUCAUAUUAAUAUAAUGAAAAUUCAUGUGGGAUAAAAUUCAUCAUAUUAAUAUAAUUAAUUACAAUCAAUGUCCGUUUUUAAAUAUGAUCCGGAGGCUUUUAAUAUAUAAUUUAAUUAAUUAAAGAUGUUGUGGCCACUCUCUAAUUAAUUAAUUAAUUAUAUUGACCAUUGGACAUUUAAUUUCACGCAUAAAAUAUUCAUAACAAUGCAUGAAAUGACAUAAUAUAUAAAUACAUCAAGGGCAUAACAGUAAAUAAAUAAAUUGGCCAAGGGCAAGAUUGCAAAAAACAAGAAAAUUUGAGGCAAAAGCGUAAAUAGAAGCCGCAUGGAGGAGACGCCAGGCACGCGCCUGUUCCCGCGGCAGGCGCGUGGUCCAUACGCGCGCGGUUCAGCGCGCGUGCGCGUGCAACACACACACCUAGCAACUGCCACGCUCGUGGAUCCCACGCACGCAACGGUUGAGCGCCCGUGAGAGCGCGUGGCGCGUGGAUUCCACGCCCCUGCAACCGCAGUGCGCGCGUAGGCUCCACGUGCCUUCUUCCUCACACGAACAGAAGCUUUUCUUCGCCAUUCCGCCGCGGUUUCGCCGGCUAUUUCUUCUCCGGCCGGCCAUUUCUUCUCCAGCAGCCCAUCUCAGACAGAAAUAAAUAAUGAGUUUUGAAGAGCAUGCCGGAAAAAUCACACGGGUCCAAGUUUCGGUGAAAAUGAGCAAAAAUUGGCCCCAAAAUCAUACGAAAAUUUCCUAAAACACAAUUCCUUCAACCACUGCGACUUCCACCGCCCGAUUAGCCUCCGGCGAUCACCGAUAUGCCGAAAUAACUCAUGACUAAUAUUCCUCAUGGCGGUGCGACCGUGCGGGUCCGAAAUCAUGGGGUGGGUCGCCGGAAUUUGCUUGGAAUUUGGGAGUUUCUCUGUUGGCCUCAAAACUCCGAAUUACUGUUCAUGUUCAAAAUGCCCAAAAAACACACCAAAAAUUCGAGAAAAACAAGGCAGAGGCACUAGACAUGCUCUGAUACCAAAUGUAAGACAAAAUAAUUCAUAUGCAGAAGCCAGGAUCAAUUAAAGACAAACCUCCCGCCAUUGUUUUGUUCACGUUCGUAAAAAAACCUGAAAUCAAAGAAAAUUGAGGACACUCUACUACCCAAUUCACUCUCGUACUGAUGGUGUAUUCUGAAUGAGAGAGUUUGAGUUAGACAUUGUCAUCAUCUGUCAGAAAUGAACGUACUUUCCUAUUUAUACAUUGUCUCCCAUCAAGACUGGCGGUUGUCACCAAAGGGUACGAAGCGUGGAAAACUUUAUGUCGAACAGUCGCAACCUUUAGAGAAAAUAAACGUGGGAUCACAAAAAUAAAUAACAAUGCCCACUCAAGCUGAGGUGGAGGCUGAAGAAGAGAGCAGCGAAGCCAACGAUCAAUUUUCCACGGGGCCUUUACUCUUACCAGGAUUUUUCGAGUAUAUGGAACAGUUAAACUUCAGCCAACAGGUGCAAAAUUGCCAUGGUAUGUCCAUGUAAAGUUUUUAUACAUUCAUCCAGGCGCGAAGAAAGGAAAAAUCAUUAUAUUUUUCAGAUUAGUAACUCUCUCUAUAAUAACUCAAAUUCAUCUGCUUCCCUAUCAUAUCGAUUCCAAAUUACAGUUGUAUCAUUGUAUAUUCUAUAUGUCCCAUAUCGUUAUCUUUUUACCGCAUGGUUUAUUUCAUCAAAAUAUUUACUUAUGAGCAUAUGUUGAUUUUCGCCGUAAAUAUUUGUUUUUUAAUCAAGUUCUAGACAUUCGUUUUACCUGUACCCAUGGCUUGAUUUAAAAGUCCCAUUGUUGAUUUAUUUUACGCUCAACUUUUUUAGUGCAACCAGUUUUGGUGCCCCCUCAACAUCAAAAUGCUCCACAUCAAUCCAAGACAAGGAAUGUGCUUCAGAAUCCAACUGCACAAUCAUCAACAGCUCUAAGGGAUAUGGAUUUACGUAUCCUAUCAUCAUCACAAGCUUCAGAUGUUGCUCCACAGUGGCCGACCGAUGUUUCAAACUUCAACCAACAGGGAUAUCAAUGGGCCAAACUCUGGCCAACAAUCACAAGCAGAGCGUCAGUUUCCUCAGAGUUCAACAAUGCCGUCACUGGCACAAAAUCGCCAUGGUAUGUUAAUGUGAAGUAUCUAUACAUUCAUCUCGGCGGGGAGAAAAACAUCUAUUAUAUUUUUCAACGCAAACAUGUUGGAUUUUUUAACCGAAGUGGUAACUUUUAAAUAUCUCCGAUAAACAUGCUUUUUCCACACAACUGUUCAAAUAUGAAGAGAGUCAAUAACCUAUUCCUUAAUAACCAUACAUCCAAUGUGUUACACGUGGCCACUGGACCCACUGGAUCCAGUAAACUAACUACAAUAAGCAUUCUCCCGUGUUCCAAUCAACCAUAUCCUAACUUUGAUGAACAAAACACAGGUGAAAGUUCCACGAUGGCUUUAGUGGAAGCGGAAUUGUAUUUUCAUGAUCUGUUAGAUUAGUCACAAUGUUACUUUCAAUCUCAAAUGCAAAUGAUUGCCCAUCAGACUCCAGCAGGGGCGUCAUCAUUCCAGGAUGAUCAAUUACCUACUGUAGAUAAUUCAAAUUGCUUGCCGGAUUGCAAUCAGCACUCUCAAUUGCAAACUUUAAUGGACAUAGAUCCCUCAAUUGCACCACAGCAUACAAGUGACUCACACAUUAUUGAGGCAACAACGGUUGAAUCUCAAGUUUCAGAGGCGGCAACAAAUGCAACAGGCCCAUCGUCAUCACAAGGUGUGUUUGGAUUAAUCUUCAUUGUUACUAUAUGGUUCCACUAGACUCUUAAAUAUCCCCAAAUUAUUUUAUCGAAAUCUAACAUAUGUUUUUUUUGUAAAUUAGAUAUGAAUAGGGGUUCUCCAGUCAUGGACGUACGGAGCAUCUAUGCCAACGAUGAAGAGAUAAGAAACCUGAAAAGAAAAGUGGAAGAACUUGACGACAAAAAAGCUGUCAUAAAGGAGCAGAUGGAGAUAGAGUCUGCUGCUUCCUCUGUUCGGAAGAAGCCGAGGAUAUUGGUUGAGAGAUGACUGAAAGAGACAGAAAGAGCAAGAAAUAAUUUCCAAAUAAUUGGCCAAGCCAAUGUGGAAACUUUGCCACCAAAGGAACAGGUGGAGACAUUGACGAGAGAAGUGGAAGAACUCAUAGGAAAAAUGCUUCCACAAACACUACUCAUAGAGGAGAGAGAUGCCAAAGGAGUCAAAUUUUUUGAACGAAAGCUAACAGGUGAAGUGAUUCAUAGGAACAUUAAGUUGAUUUGGGAUUGUCUGAAGGAAAAUCAUGUAUGCAAAUUGGGUAUUUAUGGAAUGGGUGGUGUUGGGAAGACAACUAUUAUGAUGCACAUACAUAAUAGACUUCUCAAUGAUGCAACCUUCGAUGGUGUGGUUUUUAUCACUGUGUCCAAAGAUUUCAGCAUUUAUAAGUUGCAGAGUGAUAUUGGGGAGGCAUUAAAAUGUGGCAUUAAGGAGGUUGAGGAUGAGAAGAAAUGAGCAGCGAUGUUGUUGGAGCAUUUAGAAAGAAAGAAGAAUUGUGUAUUGAUUCUUGAUGAUGUGUGGGAACAUCUUGAUCUUGAAGAGUUGGGAAUCCCUAUUAGAGCACAUGGAUUUGAGUUCAUCUUAACCACUCGAUCCUUUGAUGUGUGCUGCCAAAUGCAAUAUCAAGAAAAGAUCAAAAUCAAGCCUCUAUCUCAAGAAGAAGCCGAGAGUUUGUUUUUGGAGGAGCUUGGACCCGAAAUGCCACUUAAUUUGGAAAUUGAAGCAAUUGUGAAGUCCAUUGUUAAAGAAUGUGCAGGCUUGCCGAUUGGAGUAAUCACGAUGGCGAGAAGCAUGCGAGGAGUGACCGAAGUGUUUGAAUGGAGGGAUUCCUUGGUGAAAUUGAAAGAAUCGACUAUUAGACAAACAUAUAUGGAAGGUUUUAAGAAUUUUGAAAUUUAGUUAUGAUUGCCUUGGUAAUUCUAAUGUCCAACAAUGUUUCUUAUCUUAUGCACUUUAUCCAAAUGAUGGAUUAAUUGGUGGAUUGAGUACGAGUAAUGAACAAUAUGAUAGAGGGCUCACCAUAUUGAACAAAAUGAGAAAUGUUUGCCUAUUGGAAGGUCAGCACAAGAGAGGGAUGUGGAUGAAGAUGCAUGAUUUGAUUAGAGACAUGGCAUUGCAUAUCAUGGGUGUGACUUUCAUUGUAAAAGCAAGAAAGCAAUUGAUGAGGAUUCCAUCCGAAGAAUAUUGGACUGAUGCUUUGGAGAAAGUUUCUCUAAUGAAUAAUAACAUUAAAGAUUUUCCAUUGGACAUGUCGCCAAAUUGCCCUAACCUAUCAACUCUUCUAUUAAAAAAUGGCUUGUCGCAUGAUGCGGUCAUCCCUGAUUCUUUCUUCAAAAAUUUAUGCGGGCUAAAGGUUCUAGAUUUGAGUGGAAAUGAUAUGACAAAACUUCCAAAUUCCAUCUCAAACUUGGUAAACUUGAGAGCACUAUUGCUCAGACAUUGUCAGGAAUUGCGCCGUGUUCCUUAUCUAGGAAAGCUCACAUCUUUAAGAAAGUUGGGCGCUGAAUACUGUAGGAGUCUUGAAGUGCUUGAGGGUUUGGAAAAGUUGGUGAACUUGAGAUACCUUAACCUAACUGGAACACAUAUUGAGAGAUUGCCCAAGGGAAUGUUGGACCAUUUAUUACACUUGCAAUAUCUUAAAUUUUCGGUGGUAAAUGAAGAAGACAUUACGAAAUUGGGGGCAUUGAAGACAUUUGGAUGCUACCUUAAAAAUGUGGAUGAUUUCAACAAGUGUGUGAAGGCUAUUGAGCAUAGUAAUAACCCUCGCUAUUACGACCUCAAAGUGGAUCGAGAAAAACCAGAGUUUAUUGCGAAAGUAAGCGAUGAUACUCAAUUUGGGAAUUUGAGGAGGAGAGUCAUCAUUUGGGAUUGGAGUCAUGCCAUUUUGAGCGUGGGAGGCGAUUGCACCAGCAUUUUUAUUUUGAUUCCCCAAGAUGCGCAGAUAAUGAUAAUGAGAAAAUACGACGGUAUAACAAAUUUGUCUGGCAUGCGUCUGCUUGAAUACCUUGAGGAGCUAAAUAUAGAAGAAUGGGAAAACUUAGAGGUGCUCUAUGGAGGACAAGACAAAGAAGUAAUCGUCAUCCAUGACUCCCUUACCCCAACCCCUACCUUUCCGCUCUUCCCCAACCUUAGGGUUUUGCGAAUAGAAAAAUGUACGAAAUUGAAGUAUCUCUUUGGGCAUGGGUCUAAAACCAACCUUCCGCAUCUACGAGACAUUCUAAUAUAUGGAUGUGAGGAAAUGGUGGGGAUAAUAGCAGCAGUUACAUCCCCACCACCACAUCCGCUCCCAUUUUUCCCUAGUCUGGAACAGAUUACUAUUGAAAAAUGUAAUAACAUGAAGAGAGUGGUGGAAUCUGAGUGGAUGCCCCACUUCCCUAAUCUAAGAAGAAUCUAAGUAUUCAAAUGUGAGAAGAUGGAGGAGAUAAUCGAAGGUCGUCCCCCAUACUUGCCAGUUGAAGGCAUUUCUCUCGAAUCUCUUACGGUAAUAGAUUGCGGUAACAUGAGAAAGCUGCUUCCGCAUGAGUGGCUGCUCCAUCUUCGAAAACUUCGAAAGAUCAUGGUCUCAUCGUGCAAUGGAAUGGUGGAGAUGAUAAGUGGAGCGGGACAAGGUCAAGAAGGAAGCUUAACGACUCCCUGUAAACAACACCCCUUCAUCCUUCCAGCCUUCUUCAAUUUCUCCCCCAAAGCUGGAGUGGUUGGGACUACUCAAUCUACCCCAGCUGAAGAGCAUAUGCGAAGUCCCAAUAAGCUGCGAUUCCAUGAAAAAUUUGACGGUGUACGGAUGCCAAGAACUGAAGAGGAUUCCUUUGCAACUGCGAUUGUGUGAAAUUGAGGAGCUUCCACAUAUUUGGGUGGAAGAUGAGGAAAAGUGGAAGACGCUAAUUUGGGAUCAUCCCAAUGCUCAGGCUACUCUUAAACCUUAUCUCCUAAAAGGGAAUCACACUAAUAGAGAAAGUCCUUUAUUUUGGGAGGGACCGAGUCCUCCAAGUGCUAUAGGUUAAUGAGUUUAAUCGAUAUACAAUUGCUUCACUUCUUAAAAGUCCUUAUAAAGAUGUAGCUUCUCUGUCUAUAUAGUCAUGCAGCUCUAAUAGUGGCCUUUUGCAGAACUGUCCACCAAGGGAGAGGAUCUCUAGUGACUCUGCUCUUGAAGAAAGCCCUACUGCUCGACCAUGCUUUCCUGCAAACUCGACUCAGGUUGUCAUAUAAUUUGACUUUUUUCGUGUAUAUUUUGAAUGUGUUCGCAUGUUUUAUUGACUAUUGGAAAUGAGUCAAUCUGGUCGAUAUUUCAGGUUAGUCAAAAAACAACGGAUCUGAAGAUUUAGGAAGCUAAGGGACGAGCAAAGCCUGUUUCCUAUCUUGUCUUAUAACCGAAAGGACAAUUUAUUAUUAUGGAUUGAUCUUCCUAGAAUAUUAGCCUUCUAAGAAAAGAGAGAAUUUUGGGCAGCACUACCUUUUAAUAUGCUUGUGUUUAGAAAGGAUUUCAAAUAUGAUAUUGCUAUAACUUGUCGAUCAAAAAUGUUGUGCCACAUAUGCUGCUUUGCUCUCUUGGAUCAGAGCAACAUGACUCUGAUUAAACUUGUUUCGACAUUAAACUAUCGGAUAUAGAAUACUUGAUCUGCUUAGUAGUUGUAUCAUAUCUGGAAACGUAGGCUGGAAAGUUUUCUUUUCACCCUUUGUUGUAAAAUUUCACCUCAACCCCACUUUGAGUUAUAAAAUAAAAAUCCAUCACCCCUCUUUUGAUUCCUUGAAGUCGUAAAUAGAUGGAGAACCCUACAGCUUCAGCUUAAGUUGCCAAAAGAUUAGAGCAGUUACCACUAGCAAGUUAGUGGUGAAAAGGCCAACUUAUUGGACAUGGCACUUUCGGAAAUGUUUACAUUGCAAGCAACAGGUUAGCUAGCUCUGGUAAACUUUGACAUGUUCCAAUUUUCUAGAUAUCCAGUCAGCUAAACUUUGACCUAUUAGGUGACAGAGAAACCAGAUCUUUAUGUGCAUUGAAGGAGUUUGAGCUAUUGCCUAAUGAUCCAAAUUCAGCUGAGUGCAUGGGGCAGUUAAAGCAGGUAAUGUCUUUGUUAUGCUCCGGGAUCCAAUCUAUUCUCUCAUCUGAUCUAAAUAUGCUGGGAGGAAAUUUUUUUUUAUCAUUUCUAGGUAAUUGAUUGCUUUGCUACUACAGGAAAUUCAAGUACUUAGCCAGCUUAGACAUCCAAACAUUCUGCAGUAUUAUGGCAGUUAAAUUGUGAGUCACCUUUCCACGGCAUCUACACGACCCAGAUCAAUGGGCAUUCAUAAUUUUACUUACCGAAAUUCCAACAUAUUCAUACAUACUUAGGUUGAGGAUCAACUUAAAAUAUAUCUAGAAUAUGCACAUCACGGUUCGAUAGACAAGUAUAUUCAGGAGCAUCUUAGGACCCUAACAGAAUCGGUUGUUCACACUUUUACCCUCCAUAUUGUGGCUGGAUUGGCUUCCCUGCAUCUUAACAACUCCAUACAUGGGUAAUUCUAAACCAUUGAUCAAGUAUCAUGAGAUGACUUGCAUACUAGAUUAGGAUGAUUGGACCUUCUUCUUUGUCCCUAUAGACCUGUUAAAACUCUUUGGCUUGCGCAGGGAUUUAAAGGGAGCUAAUUUAUUUGUGGAUGCAUAUGGGAUAGUUAAACUUGCUGACUUUGGGAUUGCUAAACAUGUGAGUUUCCACCUCUUCACUGCAAGACUACUGAGUGCAUGUAGAAAUUCCUUGUUGAUCUAUGGUGCAUUCGAAUGUUAAGUCAGGAACCCAGGGUGACUGCAUACUUCUCAUUAAUGGUUUGUGGCAUUUCAUAUAUGCAAAAAUCCAUUAUAGAUGGAUGAAAUGUUAUUGAGUAAUUUUCUUCACUUUUUUUCCCAUUGUUUCGGGUAAAGUUACUAUGUUGCAUAAACUAGAAAAGAUUUCUUGUUAUAAAUAGAUGCUGAAACCUACUGAGAGUUCUUUCCUUUUCUACUGGUUUCUAAAAAGUUCCUAAGAGAGGUAGUGAAUAAAACGCAAUACCUUUGGCGAAAGGUUGUGGUUUUGUUUUUGCUGCUUCUCUGCAUUCCCAAAGAAGGAUAGAAUUUAGUUAGAGUAAAGAAAGGCCUCCUUCCUAACAUGGGGUUAAUAAAAGUGUAUUGGUCCAUAGAACGGAAUUCUAGACAAUAGCCACGGUACUGUUGGUCUCUUUUUUGAGUUCUCAAACAUUUGCUGAGACCAUGUUGUUGAUUGCUUCAUGGUCAUUUUUCUCAGUAAUGAGCUAACAUAAGUUGAAAGUGGUUGAUUUAGUUAUCAAUCUGAUGUAUUUAUAUCUAUAAAGAUGUUGCUAUUUUAUCCAGUGUUCCAUGAACACACUAGGUAGUCUUCGACUCUACUAAUCUCUUACCAUUUCUUAGCUAACCGGACAAGCAGCUUCUUGCUCUUUGAAGGAAGUCUAAACUGGAUGGUUCCCGAGGUACUCUGCUUUGGUGAAUGUUAACGCUGCAUUCUUUUUUUGUCGUGACGGAAUGAUGGAAUAAUAUAUCCAGCAGCUCAUACAAUCCUUGAUGGCAAAUAAUUACAGCACAGAUCUCGAUUGUAUUGUCGACUUGUGGAGUUUGGGAUGUACUAUUACCGAAAUGAUAAUUGGCAAACCUCCUUGGAGUGAGUAUGAGUGGGUAGGUACGCUGCAUUGCUUUUUCAUUUUCUCUGUUUGUCCCUCCAAGUAAUACGCUUCCAACCAAAUCUGCAUCGUCGUCUGGAAGAGAUUAUUGUUUGGGACUGUGGUAAAAUGAAGAGAGCAGUGGAAUCUGAGUGGAUGCCCCACUUCCCUACUCUGAGAAGAAUCACAGUAUAUGAAUGUGAGAAGAUGGAGGAGAUAAUCGAAGGUCCUUUCUCAUACGUGCCAGUUGAAGAGAUUUCUCUUGAAUCUCUUGAAUCUCUUGAAGUAGCAAAUUGCAAUAACAUGAGAAAGCUGUUUCCGCAUGAGUGGCUGCUCCAUCUUCGAAAUCUUCAAAGGAUCGAGGUCGAUUAUUGCAAAGGAAUGGUGGAGAUGAUAAGCGGAGCCAGACAAGGCCAAGAAGGAAGCACGGUGACUCCUGUAAAUAACACCCCUUCAUCCUUCCAGCCUCCUAUUUCUCUCCCAAAGCUGAAGUUCUUGGGUCUAUGGUCUUUGCCCCAGUUGGAGAGCAUAUGCGAAGUCCCAAUAAGCUGCGAUUCCAUGAAAGAAUUGACAGUGUCCGGAUGCCCAGAACUGAAGAGGAUUCCUUUGCAACUGCGAUUGCGUGAAAUUGAGGAGCUUCCGCGUUUAUGGGUGGAAGAUGAGGAGCAGUGGAAGACGCUGAUGUGGGAUCAUCUCGAUGCUCUGGCUAUUCUUCAACCUUAUCUCCAAAAAUGGAAAUACGCUGUAAGUAAUGAGUUAAUUGUAUACGAUUGCUUCACUUCUUAAAAGUCUUUACAAAGAUGUAGCUUUUCUGUCUAUAUAGUCAUGCAGCUCUAACAGUGGCCUUUUGCAGAACUGGACGCCAGGAGAAAGGAUCUCCCUUGGCACUGCUCUUGAAGAAAGCCCUGCUGCUCGACCAUGCUUUCCUGCAAACUCGACUCAGGUUGCCAUAUGAAUUGACUUUUUUCGUGUGGCCAUGCUUUGUGUAUUUUCAAUGCGAUUGCAUGUUUUAUUGACUACUGGAAAUUAGUCAGUUUGGUCGAUAUUUCAGGUUAGUCAAAAAACAACGGAUCUGAAUAUUUGGGAAGCCAAGGGACUAGCAGAGGUCUGUUUCCUAUCUUGUCUUAUAACCGAAAUGAAAAUUUACUAUUAUUAAUUUAUCUUCAUGGAAUAUUAGCCUUCUAAGAAAAGAGAGAAUUUUGGGCAACACUACCUUUAAUUUGUUUGUGUUUAGAAAGGAUUUUAGAUAUGAUAUUGCUCAAACCUGUCGAUCCAAACUGUUGUGCGAUAUACGCUGCUUCGCUCUUUUGGAUCAGAGCAACAAGACCUCGAUUGAACUUGUUUCGACAUUAAACUGUUGGGUAGAGAAUACUUGAUCUGCUUAGUAGUUGUAUCAUCUCUGGAAAUGUAGGCUGGGAAGUUUUCUUUUCACCCUUUGUUGUAAAAAUUCACCUUAGCCCCACUUUGAGUUAAGAUGUAAGAAGAUGAAGAAGAAAGAAUUGCACAGCUAUCAACCCUCUUUUAAUGCCUCUAAGUCGUGGAUAGAUGGAGAACCCUACAACUUCAGCUCAGGUUGUCGAAAGAUCAAGCAGUUACCACUAGCAAGUCAAUGGCAAAGAGGCCAGCUUAUUGGAUGUGGCACUUUCGGAAAUGUUUACAUUGCAAGCAACUAGUAAGUUAUCUUUGGGAAACUUUGACAAGUUCCAUUUUUUUUCGAUAUCCAGUCGGCUAAACUUUGACAUAUUAAGUGACAGAGAAACCAUAUCUCUAGGUGCAUGGAAGGAGCUUGAGCUAUUGCCUAAUGAUCCAAAUUUAGCUCAGUGCAUGAGGCAGUUAAAGCGGGUAAUGUUUUUAUUAUGCUCUAGGAUCCAAUCUAUCCUCUCAUCUGAUUUAAAUAUGCUGGGAGGAAACUUUCUUUCAUCAUUUCCAAGUAAUUGAUUGCUUUGCUACUACAGGAAAUUCAGGUACUUAGCCAGCUUAGACAUUCGAACAUUAUACAGUAUUAAGGCAGUGAAAUUGUGAGUCACCUUUCCACGGCGUCUACGCAUCCCAGCUCAAUGGUCAUUCAUUAUUUGACUCACCAAAAUUUCAACAUUUUAUACAUACUCAGGUUGAGGAUCAUCUCAACAUAUAUCUAGAAUAUGAACAUCAUGGUUCAAUAGACAAGAAUAUCUAGGAGCGUCUUGGGACCCUAACAGAAUUAGUUGUUGCACUUUUACUCGCCACAUUGUUACAAAAUUGGCUUCCCUGCAUGUUGACAACUCCAUAUAUGGGUAAUUCUAAACCAUUGAUCAAGCAUCAUGAGAUGACUUGCGUAUUGGAAUAGGAUGAUUGGACCUUCUUCUUUGUGCUUACAGACCUGUUAAAACUCUCUGACUUGCGCAGGGUUUAGAGGGAGCUAACUUAUUUGUGAAUGCAUCUGGGAUAUUCGAACUUGCUGACUUUGGGAUUGCUAAACAUGUGAGUUUCCACCUCUUCACUACAAGACUACUGAGUGCAUGUUGAAAUUCCUUGCUGAUCUGUGGUGCAUUCAACUGUGUACUUCUCAUUAUUGGUUUGUGGCAUAUCAUAUGUGCAAAAAUCUAUCGUAGAUGGAUGAAAUGUUAUUGAGUAAUUUUCUUCACUUGUUUUCCCAUUGUUUUGGUUAAAGUUACUAUGUUGCAUAUAUGGGAAAAGAUUUCUUGCUAUAAAUAGAUGUCGGAACCUAAUGAGAGUUCUUUCCUUUUCUACUGAUUUUUAAAAAGUUCCUAAGAGCGGUAGUGAAUUUGUAAUACCUUUGCCAAAAGGUUGUGGUGUUGUUUUUGCUGCUCCUCUGCAUUCCAAAAGAAGGAUCAAAUUUAGUCAGAGUAAAGAAGGGCCUCCUUCCUAACAUGGGGUAAAUAAAAGUGUAUGGGUCCAUAGAACGAAAUUCUGAACUAUAGUCAAGAUAUUGUUACACUCUUUUUGAGUUCUCAAGCAGCAUUGGCUGAAGUCAUGUUGUUGAUUGCUUCAUGGUCUUUUUUACUAAGUAAUGAGCUAACAUAAGUUGAAAGUGGUUGAUUCAGUUAUCGAUCUGAUGUAUCUAUGUCUAUAAAGAUGUUGCUAUUUUAUCCAGUGUUCCAUGAACACACCAAGUAGUCUUUGGCUUUAAUAAUGCCAUACCAUUUCUUAGCUAACCGGACAAGCAACUUACCGCCCUUUGAAUGGAAGUCUAAACUGGAUGGCUCCAGAGGUACUCUGCUUUUGUGAACGUUAAUGCUACAUUCCUUUUUUUGUCGUGGCAGAAUGAUGGAAUAAUAUAUCUUGCAGCUCAUGCAAUCCUUGAUGGCGAAUAAUUACAGCACAGAUCUCGAUCAUUCUGCCAACAUGUGGAGUUUGGGACGUACUAUUAUUGAAAUGAUAACUGGGAAACCUCCUUGGAGUGAGUAUGAGUAAGUACGCCGCAUUGCCUUUUCAUUUUCUCUGUUUGUCCUUCCAUGUAACACGCUUCCAACCAAAUCUGCGUUGCCGUUUUCUGUGGGAAGUUCAGGGUCGUGUACAUCGCCAUUUGGUAUGUGAUCUGUGUCAUGCGUUUCUGUUUAAGGUUGAAUCAUUAAUGUAGGCUCAAGCUACAUUUAAGGUGAUUUGAAGUUCUCUAGCAAUACCUGAGACGUUAUCUGCCGAGGGAAAGGAUUUCCUGCAAUGCUGCUUUCGAAGACAGUCUGUCGAGAGGCCUUCAGCUGCUAUGCUACUUGAGCAUGCUUUCCUGCAAAUCUGAAGUUGCAGAUGACUGACCUAUUUCAAGUGCCAUAUGUUGUCACAAAAGGGUUGUUGUCCUGUAAAGUUCCAUAUUGACUAAACCAGAAGGAUCACACGGUCCAUAGAUGUGAUAAAGUACUUGUAUAUCGACAAAAUAAGACGGAUGUUCCUCUUGCAUGGUCUGACUAGCGGCAUACUGAUCUAGGCAAUUUAACAGUGUUGCUUAAUCUAAACCUUUUAGUGUAGAGUGCAUUCUUAUCAUAAACAUUUUGUGCGAAGUACAUUUAUUCAUCAAAAUUGAAUGGUAUUGAUUUGGCUCCAAAUAAGCAACAGAUCAGUGAAACAAAAGCAGGUAAACCCAGAAAAGAGGAGAAAAAGAAAAUCGAAGCGAUAGUGCAUCAGAAUUCCUGAACUAAUUUUGAAAGCAAAUACUUUGUCGGUUUGGUGGGAGGAACAUUGGCAGGUUUGGCAAACCUGCAGUGUCUUAGGAUUGCAUUAGAGGCUCUUGAUUCUUCCCUUCAACAAAUACAUGAGAUUUUCUCCGACCAGAGUGGCCCUCAUCACUAUCACCAAAUUCCGGUGAAUCAAGAAAAGCCAUCGUGGUCUGUCUCUGAAUUUAAAUGAUGAUGAGGAUCCAAGAUUUAUAACUUCCGAGAGGAGAAUCAACGUUAAUUGUUGUGAUUAUGCUCUUGUCAGGGCAGUGAGGGGAAAGUCUUUCCCCUAUUGGUUUUGCUCCCAAGUGAUGCUGCAAGUUUACUGUAUUUUCCCCUUAUGGUUGUUUGUCAUUUCGUGGACCAUUUUUAGAAUAACUUUGCAUCUCCUCUCUAUAAAAUACAAACAACUGAUGAAAUCUGUUGAAAAUAUCUCACACCGGUCUUUUACAAGAUUUUAAUGGGCCUUACAUUCAUAUAAUUUACCUUCACUUGUUCAAAUUUUUAGGUUGGACUUUCUCUUAUGUGCAAAUAGCAAUUUCUGCUUGAAAUGAAGAGUAAACAUGCUUCCCUUUUUUAACUAUUUUUUCUACGAUUAAAGUGAUUCCUCUACCCUAUACUAGAAAUAUAUAAAGUGUCACAGAAAAAGAAACUCCUCGAAAUUUUGUAAAGUCGGAGGCGCAGCUCAGAUUGAGCUAUGACUCUCAACUGCAUUAAAUUCUCUCUUCAUUUUCGUCUUCUUUUGUUCUUUUCCUCAAUUUUUAGCCAACAUCCUAACCAUAAGGCGCCUUUUCUCUUUUGUCCCUUAUCUCUCCCCCUUUUCUUCGUACACCUCACUCUUCUUUUCCUGCCUCUUUUUUUUUUGGUUCUCUGCCCGAACCCUUAACGAAGACAACUAAUUGGUAUUUAGUUUUCCAAAGUGUAGCAUUAUUGAGCACCAUCAUCGACCAUCAAGUUCGCUAAACUCAACCAUCAAUUAACUAACUAUUCUUGUUUAACAGGCCAGGCCAACGCUCGCUUGGGCAAGGGCGAGCCCCGGUGAGGGCUCCCAUUAUUUAAAAAUAUUUAAAAAUUAUUAAAAAAUUAUUAAAAAUGAUCUACGUCAGCGCCAGCGGUCCUACGUGGCACCACCAAUGUCCACAUCAGCAUUUUUCGGCCAAAAUUGACCAGAUGGACUGAAUUGGCAAUAAGUGAAAACGUUUAAGACUGAAUUGGCAAAAUUAAAAAUGCAAUAGGUUUAGGACUUUUUGGACAAUUUUCCCGAAAUAAUUGCGAUACCAAAUGCUAAAGGGCAAGACGGGAGACUUUUAUACGAAGUGAAUGGAAGCAAAGGUGCUUCUGAAAAGGGCAUUUUCAGAAGGAAAAGUGCUUGUGCAGCUAAGGGGGGAAAGAGGGGAGUCUUAUAAGAACUGAGGUAAAAGUGCUUGCAAAAAGGACAUUUUCGGAAAAAAAAAAAGUGCUGGUCAUAAGAGCUUUAUAAAUAGUGAUAUGGCUUCUUAUAAAACGUUUUAUACGAAGUCGGAAAAGUUUUGUAAGAAGUGACGUGGCUUCCUCUAUAAGGGCAAGGCAGGAGACUUUUAUAAGAAGUCAAUGAAAGCGAAAGUGCUUCCGAGAAGGGCAUUUCGGCAGGAACAGUGCCUGUGCAGCUAAGGGGGAGACAGGAAAGUUCUAUAAGAACUGAGGCAAAAGGGCUUCCAAAAACAGCAUUUUCGGAAGAAAAAGUGCCGGUCAUGAGAGCUUUAUAAAUAGUUACGUGGCUUCUUAUAGAACGUUUCAUACGAAGUCGGGAAUGUUUUGUAGCGGCUGACUUCGUAUAAAACGUUUGACUUCGUAUAAAACGUUUAAAUGUUUUAUACGAAGUCAGGAAAUUUUUGUAAGUGACGCGGCUUCUUUCUCAUGAAAAGCCCCCAGAGGACGCCGUUCUUCUUUUAAAACUCUCCUGGCCAGCACAUUUUUUUCAAUUCACUUCUUAUAAAACUCUUGUCUCGCCCCUUAGCAUUUGGCACCGCAUUUCUCUCACAAAACAAUUCACUCAUGGGGAAUGUUUUUACGCGCCAUUGUGAAGACGCGAUCAUUCCUGAAGCUGAAGCUGUGGUUAUAUCUGGUAAUUUUCUCUUCUUCAUCUUCUUCAUCUGUGAUUCACGGUCACCCAUAGACGUUUGAGUUGAGUUUGAUUCUUAUGUUAAAAUUUACGUCCUUCAUUUCCUUGAGAUUCAAUUGUUUCGCUUAGAAAGUUUGUCAACUAGAUAAGGGCUGGUGAUGAUGUGUUUAAUGCACUUUUGUAGGUCAGAUUUGGCGAUUAUGUGUUUGUUUUUCUCACUUUUAAGCUUCUAAAGUACAGAGAACUAGUCUUUUGAUAGUUACAAAAAGUACAGAGAAGUAGUCUUGUAAAGGUUGAUCCACUGGUAGAAUUGUGUGGCAAUCAUUAUGAGACCGUGAUGUAAUGCCUCUUUAUUUUUCUAAUCCAUAGAUCUAUUUCCCAUGUCUACCAUUCGUAAUGAAGAAGAGGGCAGUGAAGAAGUUGAAUUACAUGAUGAAUUUGCCAUCAUCAAUGUCCCCAUUCAAGGUGGAGAUGGCAAUACCAUACCCAGUGAAGAAGAGGGCGGUCAAGAAGUUGAAUUACACGAUGAAUUGAUUGCCGUCAUUAUCCCCAUUCAGGGUGGAGAUGGCAAUACCAUACCUAGUGAAGAAGAGGACGGUCAAGAAGUUGAAUUACACGAUGAAUUGAUCGCUGUUGUUGUCCCCAUUCUGGAUGGUGAUGGCAAUGGUGACGGCCAUAUUGAGGAUGGCGACAACAAUGUUGGUGAGCAUGAAGUGGAGCAAGAGGUGCAGGAGGUGGAGAAUGAGCAGGACGGCGGCGAGGGGGCUGGUGUGGGGGUUGUUGUUGGUCCUGCCGUUGCUGGUAAUAGAGCUGGCUUUAUUGUUCUGGCAACGGUGCUAGUGGGGGCGCUCGUCUUGUGGAAGAUGCGGCUGAUAACACUGUUAGAGUUGCUUUUGAUGGUGGUGGUAGUAUUGGCAGUAGCCUUGCUCCUUGGGCGCAUGGAUUGGCUAAACUUGAUAUGGAUCUUAAUCCUAAGACUCAAUAUUAUCCUAGUAUGAUGGAGAGAUUGACGCGUGGAUUGCCACGUGAGAUGUCUAGGUGGACUUCUUUGGAUGAUUUUCAGUAGAACAUUUUUGUUGCAGGAACCUCUGUUUGUAUCCUUAUUUCAUCAUGUAUACAUUUGUAUCAUUACUGGUUAUGUUGUCAAUGUACUUGGAAGGAAUAAACAUAUUCAUAGUUUAUUAACAGCUGAUUGUUCUCCUAUUGGUAUAAUUUAAGUACGCAUACGUAAGGAAUGGAGUAAGUACGGCCAUAACGAUUAUUCUCUAAUUUUAUGCGAGACUUAGAUAAAUUAGCCUCCCUAUACCAUAAAACCCGGUGGCAAUUUGAUGAACCGUCAUGUUUUCUUAGGAUUAGUAUGUGCACAAGUAGUUACGGAAUCUUAACUUUCACGUAAGAGGAUGGUCAGUAAGCUUUUCUUUGCCCAUGAGCUUAGCUCUCCUUUUUAUAUUCAGCUGGACUCAUCAAUGACAGAGGGUCAUUUGAUUCAAUCUUCUAUGUGAUGUUGAUGCAUAUAUGAUUACAUAUAAAUAGACGUGACAAAUGAGUGGACUGAAUUGAUUUUGGAUGGAUUAUCAAUAGGUUCAAUUCAAAUUCACGCAUUUAAUUCACGUUGACCCAUUUAUUUUCUGCACAAUUUAUAUGACACAUAGCCAAUCCAAACCCACCAACAUAACUCACAAUUUUUUUUAUUAAUACCAAUUAAACAAUUAUCAAAUUAAAAUAAUAAAAAUUAAUAGGGAUAAAUACACUUAAAAUCCUAAAAUUUGUCAUGAAGUAUAAUUAAAUCCUAAAAUUUAUCACAAAAAUUCAAUUGAAUUUUAAAAUUUUCAAAAAUAGUAAUUUAAGGGAUUUUUUUUCCCCUUCGCAGGCUCCCCUUUUCUCUCUCUCCAUGCCCGCUUUUUGGAAUUAAAGAGGAGAAGAAUGAAUUUUUCGCACUAACCUCCUUCUACUUCCUCUGCUUCUUCACGAACGACCAUAAGCCUUCACAAACCGAUCCCUUUUUUCUCUGCCAUGCUUUAGUCGAGCCGUAGCAGUUGUCCUUUGACCCGGAUGUUGCCGGUGACACCGUGGCCCGUCUCUGAGCUCGACGGCGAGAAUUGAGCCACCUAGAUUCAUCUUGCGCCUCUAUCUCUCUCGUCAUCCCCUUUCGACUUCGGAUGGGGCUGAUUCGAGCCAUUGACAUAAUUUCGUCUCAGAUUCACGGCCGAGUCGAGGCAUAGAUCUGAGAUCUAGGGCUCAAUCGAGCUCCACCAAAGGCGAGGGCUCAGUCGAGCUACACCAGAGGCGAGGGCUCUUGGGAGUUAUGUUCAGAUGAUCAUUACAUGAGAGACCCAUGCCAGUACCUACUCAAGGACUACUGCUUUGGAUUGUGCCUAAGAGACAGAAAUGAUCUUUCCUUGACCAUCCAGGACUUCAACUAUGCCAGCUUUUCAGGACUUAGCUACAUCAAACAUCCCCAUUAGUGGAUAAAAGUUGAAACGCCAUUAACCCGAGAAAGAAGCCAGUGCUUUUAGAAACUCUUCUGGAUAACAUAACAAAGUGCAUUCUGCCAAUGGUAUAUGCUUUCAUUUUAUAUGAAGCUAUAUGCAUGUCGUCAUUACAAAUUUAAAAUUGAGCUCGACUGCCCAGUAUUCAUGCAAUUUUCCUUAUCUUAGCCCCUCCAGAAACUAUCAAUGCUUGCUAUAUUAAUAAAACCAAAUGCUAUUUGAACAGAACAAGGCCUAAUUUUUCUUUUGCUCUUCCAAUUUCUUUGGGUUGGUUUGAAUUUGAUUUAAUUUUUGUGUUUUUCCCUUCUUUCUUGCCUUUUACCUAACAAACCAUGAUAUUUCAACAAACAGUGAUGACAAAGCAUCAAAUUAUGACAAGGAGAUUCAUUUAUAUUGAUUGAAUCAUGCAAUAGUGAAGUUAAAGUUAUUUAUAUUAGUUGAAAGGUGAUCAUUCUUGACAUGGAGUGACAGCAAAAUACUUUCGUACUUUCUCUUCGUAAAGUGAAUAUUGUUUUACUCUUCUAUUUAAAAUCUAACAUGUAGAAAGUAAUUAACUAAGCUAAAUAAUAUAGAGUAAUUUGAGAAAUGGCAAUAUCUAUCCGAAUUCCAACAUGUCAACACAUUGAACUUUGAUGUAAUUACAUAUAUCUGUGCACGUCAUACUCUAGUAUUCCAUUGAAUUACAGCAUAAAUGCUAGAGUAUAUAUUUUGAUACUCAACCUAGAUACUCAACCCAGUGUGCUUGCUGGUAGUCAAUAUUGACAAAGUUAAAUAAGAGAAUCACAGUGCAGAAAAUCAGCGCAUCUUUGGCUGAUUCAACUUAGAAAUAAUUAAGAGGGAAAGGACCUAUAGGCUCUUAAGUCUUUGCAGAACUAGUGAAGAGCUUUAAAAUGCCAAGGCAGGCGAUUGGGAUGCAUGAGAUUCUGCAAAACCUUGAGAAGUGCAAAAGACAGGGGACAGCAGAGACCUCAGUUAAUGCAAAUUCAACAGGCACAAAUGAUCAAUGCAAUCAUGCGAUAUGAACUUGAACAGAAAAUUGCCCAAGAGCUCAUUAUGGCAGGGCAAGCUGGAAGAGGCUUACCCUGAAGUGGAUUUACCCAAUCUUUCAUCUUUACAUCGUCUCUGAUCAUCGACCAUCGACUCGAAAACAUCUAACAGUUGAUCCAGUCCCUCUGGACUGCCCCCAACUGCCUUCAUCGCGUAGAUGGCACUCUCGAGAGUGGACAAACAUCCAGCCUUAGGCUGACUUCUAACUUCUCUGUACAAGCUCAUCACCUCCAAAUCCAACUUCAGAUGAGGCAACAGCUUCAACCAAGGAUUCUCGCUGUACAUUCUCUUUGCCUUCAUCCACGUGCCGUCCAGCAAGAUCAAGUUCCUGACUUUGAACUCAGCUGCCUUGAGUUCAUCAAUGCUGAGCGCAUUCUUGGUCGGAAACAGAAGUACCGACCCGCGCGGCACUUCAAGUACGAAUUCCUCAGAUUCUUCAAGCUCCAAGCUCGAAUUCAAUACAAGGUUUUGCGAUUUCCUAACCACAAAUCCAUUCGACAGAACGUCAUGAGCUGACUGGCAAUCUAAUAUGGAAUCAAAAUCAGCUCCUCGAUGACCAAUUUGAGACAUCCAAACAUGGUCUAUCGAUUCAAUAAUCCCCUUCUUGCCCAUUCGAAAACUGAUAACAGGUUUGCUGGUACUUCUAGACAAGACUCCACAAGCGCGCGAGUUCUGCGGCACCUUGGAAUCCUCUGAAACCUCCCCACCGUUUGGGGCAAUCGAACCGCAGUCCCUUUCAUCCCCAGGACAAUAAGCUCCAUUCGAUUCGACGACCGAAUUAGGGCUUCCCACCUCCACUCCAGAUACCAAUCCAUUGGCGCUGAUUUCGCGGUCUUGCUCGAGCGGCGAGAUCGAGAACUCGACGCCGGAGUUGACGUCGGAAACGGCGGCGACGGCGACGUUCUUGAGCGCUAGCCUCAAGAUUUGGGUGGAAUUGAGGGGGUGCUUCCGCUCCAGGCUGUGCUGGAGGACAGUGACGCGGACGGGGUGGUCGAGACGCGGAGAUCGGAUCCGGGUGCAGAGGCACGUGCGCGCCGGCUUCGAGCAGGACGGGCAAACGGGUCACUUCGGAUUGGUGGAGCGGGCCGUUUCCGCCAUUUUCGCCGACCGCGGCGGACGCUGGCGGCGAUCCGGCUGGGGGAAGGAGGGAGCUUGAGGAGGAGGAGGAGGAUGGUCGGGGACGCGUAUCGAAACGGGCUCGGAUUCAGGUUCGGGAACGGGUUCGCGAAUCGGAUACGGGUUGCGAAAUGGACCCGCAUUUUCCCAGAAAUUGGGAGAUGAUUUUUGGGAAUCUGAAAAAAACGGUAGGGGCCGGAGCGGGCGGGGGCGCUGUUUGGCCAAAACGGUCGAGCAAAUGGUUUUGAAUUUACGAAAGAGCGUGCCAGCGGCGGCCUCUGUGAUUCAAAUCCGAAAAAUAGUGUGCAGAGGCCAAUCGAUGACUGCCGCCGUGAGGCAAGGUUGGAUAUCAUGAUAGCGACCAAGUGGUGGAGAUUGUUCUUGUGGGUUUAUCAUGCCAUGAGAUGGCAACUACUGCGGCGAUGGUCGAAAUCAGGAUGAUGAAUGACUGAAAUCAUGCAUCUAGACCACAGUAAGUAUCCACUUAGAUCAAAUGGUCAACAAGUUAACAAUUGAGGCCCAUGAAGAUUUUAGCAGAGGAAGUUGAUAUGUUCUUUAGAUCCUCGGACGGCGGUCGCGGUUUGCACUUCAGAUUGUAAUAGCAGCCUUGGGGUUCCUCCUUUCAAAGUCUUAUGGGUAUUUAUCACUUAGACGUCCUAAGCUUCAUAUCAGAUGCUAAUGAUGUUGCUGAACUUCACAUGAAAUCGCCUUCUUGGAAUUUGCAUGAGUAUUGUCCAAUUUCAACUUGGUGAGGAACUUUUUGGCCGAAAAAAUAAAUAAAUUUGGUUGAUGUUUCAGGUUAGCCAAAGGACGAUAUAUCUGAAUAUCUAAGAAACCAGAGGACUAGCAGAGUCUACUUCCUGUCUGGCUUAGAACUGAAAGGAAAAUUUAUAAAAAUUAUUAUAUGAUUGAUCUUUCCAAAAUGUUGCCUCCUAAAGAAAAGAGAGAAUUUUGGCCAAUACCGCCUUUAAUUUGUUUGUGUUUAGAAAUGAUUUUGAACAUGAUAUUGCAUAAACUUGUCAAUUGAAAAUGUUGUGCCACACAUGUUGCUACUCUCUCUUUUGAAUCAUACCAACUUGACAUGGAUUGAAUUGUUUCAACAUUAAACUAUUUAGAAUAUUUAUUCUACUUAGUGAUUUUAUCAUAUUUGGAAACAUAGGCCGGCAAGUUUCUUUUCGCUCUUUGUUGUCAAAAGAAGAAGAAAGAAUUGCAUAGCUAUCACCUCUGUUUUGACAAAUAUAGUAGCUUCCCAUGUCUGGGGUAAGACGGUGAAACUCGCAAGGGUUCGUCUUAAGUCAGCUUGUGCUUCGCACAAUGUCCUGUAACCGACUUGUUAGCUUAGUACCCCAAUUACCUUAUACUCCUUUUCUUCAAUUAUUAUUUUAGCACACAGAGAGAGGACCAAUGCUGAGGUCUUGAUGAGCACCGACUACCCUUGAGCAACCACUUCAACACUUCCUUGAAGAGAGAGGAAACACCCCUCCUUCUCUUCGUUUCCAUUUUCCUAUUAUUUUGUUUUUUGUUUUUUUUGGUGAUCUUUGCCUUUUAUUUUUUAAAAUUUUUUGCCUUUUCUUUGAGAUGUCACAUCAGCACCAUGCGUUCUAAAAUUUUUUAGAAAUGUCAUAUCUCCACUUUCAAAAGAAAUGAAAGAAACGUUGAAUAUAGACAGAGAAGGGGCUGGUCUUGUAUCCAAUUCAUGCCACGUCAGCAAGUUGGUAAUGUCCCUAGCCAUGAAUUAUGGAGGAACUUGAUUUCAUUAACAGAGAAAAGCUAAAGGACAUAUUUCUUCUUUUUCCCCCAAGAAUGACAGCACGUGUAUUCGGAGGAAGCUCCUCGAGGCACGGUCCGUCCUUCAGCCACAUGUUAGAUAUAAUAUUGGUAAAUGGUGAUGAACAUCAUAGUUUCUUAUGGAAUGAUCCUUGGCAUCCUCAUGCGGUGUUGUUUGGAUGUUUAUCCUAAAAAAUUAAUUUAUAAUGCUGCACUGGCCCUGAACUCUCUAGUUGCUGGUGUCAUUUAUGGAGAUGAGUGGGUUUGUCCUCCAGCAGGAUCAGAAUUUUUUGUGCAUAUUCAAGCAGCCAUAUGUGGAACGAUCUUUCCCCUGCUCUGCUUUUGAGGGCAGAGCAAUUUUCAAAGGAAAUUCCUUCGGAUGCUUUACUCAGCUGAUGCUUGGAAGCGAGUAAGGAUAAAAUGCAGAAGAUCUAAUCCAAGGCAUAAAUUCAGCUUUGUAGCUGCUUGCUAUCUUGAACAGACUGCAACUUGGACGGGAUAAAAUGGGGGUCCUCCAUUGAUGACAAAUGUGUCUUAUGCUCUUCUUCCCGAGUCUAGGAAACCUUUGUGUUUUGAGGGUGCCUUCUCAAAGGAUGGAGAUUUCUAAUGCGGCUGGUUAAAGUUUGUUGGAAUGUUAAUAAUUGGGAUAGAAUGGGUUCUCUAGAGCUUGUAGAGGGAGGUCUUUGACUAAAAUCGUAUUGAAACUCAUUUGGAAUGGUGCCAUCUACUCUAUUUUGGGGAUAGGAAUGAAGUUUUUCACAAUCAUGCUGCUCCUCCGUCUGCUGAAGCUGUUAAAAUGGCGGUCUUUGGUGUGAGACUUCGCAUCAAGAUGUUGCAAGAAACAAAGAGUCUUUCGAAGGAUGCAGAGAAAGCUUUGUGUAUGUUAUUUCGAAUUGUUUGUUAAGCCUGGGUGUUUUCUGUUGUUCUUUCUCUAGGCUUCAUAUACUAACCUGAAAAAAAGAGCUAACGGAAUUAAUUGCAAGUUAGAGGAUUUCACAGCACAAAAAUGAUAAAGCAAGACCGUAUCUCAUGAGAUACGGUUUUUUUUUUUUUUUUACCGACCAAAAAACAAAAGACCGUAUCUCAAUAUAAGAUUUGCAUUUUACGGGAUUGGUUCUUAUUUUCUUUUUAUGGUUUCGAGUGCCACUCACCACGUGUCAUCUUUCCAUGGAGGUUGGACCUGGCCGCUGGUUCCUUGAUGUUGGUCCGGUCCUGACUGCCAUUGACUCUGUUUUUCCAUUUCAUAAAAAUGCCCGACCAUUGAUCUUUCUCGAGUACCCCCAAAGCCUGACGAAUCCAUAAACUCCUGAAAAUUUAAAUUGGCAACCUCCUGAAAUUCCUGACGCUAAUUUCUUCCGUGGUCCAGAUUGCCAGAGCAGCUUCGGUCCUUCCUUUUCAUCUAUGUUUGCUACUUUGGAAUUUCCAAUUUCGUCGGUUCUUUUCUAUAUCUGCUAUUUACCCACUCUGAGGGAUCUUCAGGUGGUUCUACUUACUGGGCGAUUUUUCUUUCGUUUUUUUUUUUUUUUUGGUUGGAUGCUUACUGGGUGAUUGGGAAAGGGUUUAGUAUGGCUUCUUUUUUACAGAUGCAGAUCUUGUCUGACUUCAUUCUUUUCUAGUUAGCUCGAAGUUGUCUCCUCUCUUGUAGCUCAGAAUAAGAGAUGCCUAGAGAGGUUGAUCCAUUUCGGAGGCAUGUGGAGGUUGUGGCGAACAAGUGGAAGUGUAAGUUUUGUGGCAAGGAUUUUGGUGGAAGUGCUACAGGGAUCAGGGCACACCUCGUGGGGGCUCUGGACUAUGGUAUUAAACUAUGCGAGACAGUUGAUGAGCAUGUGGGAUCCCAAGCUUUGAAAGUGAUUAAAGGUAAAAGUGUGGCGGAUGCAACCAACAGGGGAGGCGCAUCUAUUGAGGUAAUGGGACGAAGAAGUGACGGCAUGGGCCAAAUUGUAGUCCUUGGUAGUGACCAUGCUUCGAGUCCCCAUAGUAUGCAGGACUCGAAUCGAAACGUCCUAGAGCAACCAUCUUGCCAUUGGCAGAAUGGAAGUGUUGCUGGUGCAGCUUCAGUAGAUUGUCAGUAUCAAGAGACCUUGUGUCUCGUUGGCAUGCCAGUGCGUGAUGCAGAAUUGCCCCCGCAAGGGCCGCAACCCAAUGGGUCAAUUCAACGCUUGAAUGAUGAACAUGGAAACGAAAAAACUUCAUCUCUCCAGCAACCUGCAACCGAUCCUUUGGCUUCGAUUUUUCUUGAUCCAAAGUCAACUACCAGAGCUCUUUGAUCAGUGUAUUGAUCUGGAGACGAGGCAUGAACAACGGAAUAGUAGAGGGCCAUCACCAUUGCAAAGUCAUCGAUCCCUUAAUAACAGCGUGACAAAUGAGUUGCAUCAAGUCAACUAGACCUGGUGGUGCUGCGCCUGGUCCCCGUCUCAGUGACACAAGUACAAUUGGCACUCCCCAGCAUCCCAAUCAAAACUAAUUUGGGCUUUGAUGAACAAUGGAGAGGUGAAAAUGCUCCAUGUCCGCAAAAUCUUCAGCAGAGUGGGUGACUUAUCUUCUCGAUAUGCCCUAUCAGCCACAGCAUUCCAUUCCAUCUUGUUAUUCUGAGGAAAUGCCAAUGAAUGACCUGCAGAAUCGAAUGGGUCCAUUGUCAUCACAAAAUGAUCAAUCCCUUGACGUUCAAAUUGUUUGCAAGACUGCAAUUAAAUCCCUAUUGCCGAAGUAGUUCCGCUGUCCAAUGCUACAAGCGUAACCAAUGCCGUUGAGCAUUUUAGUCGACAGCCACUUCUUAUACGUGAUGAAGAAUGUGAAAAUGAGAGUAGUUCCUUUCCCUCACAAGCUUCAAUGGACAUAUCUCCGCCAAGUGCAUCACAGCCUUCCUCUGGCCCUCAUUCUUUUGAGAAACCGGACGUAGAUUCCCAAGUUCCACAGGGCGGAACUAACAAGGCCCAUUGUCAUUACAAGGUAUGCGUUGAAGUGAUCCUUCUCUUCUCUUUUCUACUGUCUCCUAUUUAACAUCUCCCACGUUUUCCUAAUUAUAGGCGUAUCCUUGAAUGUUUCAUAUGUGUACUUUCUCUUAUUUUUUAAUGAUGAAUGUUAUAUGAGAAUAUCAAACGGAUGUAAAUGUUAGUUUCAGUGUAGAUGUUUUGUGGGAUUAAGUCUAGAUUUUGACUCUACUUACGCUUGUGGCUUGUUUUGAAAAUUCAAUGGUUGAUUGAUCAGGAUUGUUAAUGAUGAUUUUAAUCUGCUUUACUUUUGCAACCAGCUUCCAGGCACCCUCCAUGUCAAAGUCUUCUAGAUCAACCUCUUAAUCUUGAGACGAUGAACACAGAGCAUCACCCAAGCGUGUCAUCGUCAUCAUCACAGAGUAACCAGUUCUUGAUUACAUGUUUCCCACAAGCUCCGAUGGACAUAUCUGUGAGUAGUCCAUCAUCACCGCGAGGUACAUGUUAAUUCAUCUAAAUUGAUCCUUAUGUAUCCUGAUGCUACUUAAUUAGGGAGAAGCAUGAGUGCUUACAUUAGGAUCUAACACGUAGAAUUCUUGAUUCACAAUUAUCUAUUAAUAGAGUCAUUCAAACGCUGGCAACUUUGAAAAUAAUGGAGCUUUGAAAAGAAAGGUAGAAUGACUCUACAAUAGAGAAGCUGACAUAAAGAAUGAGUUGGAAUUUGCUGCAUCUCUAUCUCUGAAGAAGCAGAGAAUAGAAGUUGUGAAUUGGUUGACAAACGUGGAAAAGCAGAGGAAAAAUUUCCAAAGUCUUGAACCAGCCAGCGCAGAAAAUUUGCGACCACAAUAACAGGUGGACAUGUUGAUGGAAGAAGCGGGAAGACCUUAUCAUAAAAAGCAAAUUUCCAGAAGGACCGUUUGAGGUGGGAGAUGCCAAAGUCAAUAUAUUAUUAGAACGAAAGUUGCAGGCGGGAAAGGCAUUUGAGACAAAUAAAUACUAAGAAGAUCUUGAGGUGCCUAAUAGAGGAUCGCAUAUCAUGAUUAGGCAUUUACAAUAUGGGAGGUGUCGGGAAAACAACCAUUAUGGUGCACAUACAUAAUAGGCUCCUAGAAAAAGCAAACCAUAUUAAUGUAUUGUGGAUUGCUGUGUCACAAGAUCUCAACGUUUAUAAGUUGCAAGGUGACAUUUAGAAAAAAUUUCAUGCAUGGGUGUUAAUUUGGAUAAUGCUUACUAUUUAUUAAAACAUUGAAAAUAUAUCAUUUCGUAGAUUCUAAGAAGGAAUAAUAAUAAAAAAUUAAAGUAACGUGAGGUGGAGUAAAAACAAUCACAUCUUUAAGGGGUAAUAUCACCGAAAACCCAAAACUGGUACAUAUGCUCUAAAAUUAUUUUUAAACUUAAAUUGAUAUAUUUAUGGUAAAUUUAUCCUUUAAUAAUUUUCAUUAAAUUUUACAAUUAAAUUAUUAAGUUGGAUGACAUGUGGUAAUUGAUGAGUAUAUCAAUUUGGGAUUUUACCUUCAAUUUAUCAUAUGUGUAUGAAUUUGUAGUUUUUUGUAGUAUUAAUCAAAUGUAACGGAAAUCAAUGGAUGAUAAAUUUGUCACAAAUUCACAAGUUUUGAAUUUUUGGUGUAAAAAUUAGUUCGAGAUAAAUUUAUUACAUGUGUAAUAAUUUGGGAUUUUUGUAAUAUUAACCCUAUUUAAUUAGAGUAGAUUAAAAAAGGAUAUGAUAAAAUUAUAAGUGGUUUUUUUAGUUUAUAGAUAUAAAAUUCGGUCACGUCAAUCUAAGUACUAUUGAGGCACGUUAUUAAGGGGUCUAAUCGUCUCAUUCAAAAGGGCAUUUUCGGAAGAUAAAGUGCUGGUCAGGAGAGCUUUAUAAAUAGUGAUGUGGCUUCUUAUAAAACGUUUUUUGUCCUGACUUGGUAUGAAACGUUUUUUGUCCUGACUUGGUAUAAAACGUUUAAAUGUUUUAUACGAAGUCAGGAAAGUUUUGUCAGAAGUGACGCGGCUUCUUUCUUAUAAAAUGGCCCCAAAGGAUGCCCCACUCGACAUCACAGCACGGAGAGACGGAGGAGUAGAGAGAGAGAGAGGUGAAGAGCGACGACGGUGGAUUGCAGCCCGUCGAAAGAAAGGGUCGAGCGACGCCUGAAAUCUCCAUUUCCGAGCACCAGGCAAGAGAUUUUACCUCUAUUUCUCACGAGUUUGCGAUUUUCGUUUUUUUAAAAGUUUAAUAUCCGGACCUAUGUAGGGUUUUGCUUUACCGGCAACGCUUCGGCCGCCAAAAUCCAACCAUAUUUUGAUUACCCACAUCUCCUUGAGUCUAGAGGGAUUUCGCAGAGUUGUAGUUGGAGUCAGAUUCGAGAGAAACGAACUCUCCAAGUCCUCCUCUCUGCGCCGCAGGUGAAGAGUGUGUGCCGCCUGACUUCUUGGCUAAGCCACCUUUCGGGGCGGCGACCUGUCGAAUCUCGUAAUUCUAGAAUUAAUUAUUUUCUUGAGAAGGGAGUCCGCAAUUCCCAAGGUGUCUUUGAGUUAGAUCGGGUGUUUUUCGUCUCAGAAACAGCAAAUUGUUCUUGGGUCUGUUGGAUAGUAAUGUGCAGUUUGGCUUUCCCGCUUUAGUACUUGCGGAUGCUAGUGUUUGCUUUACACAAGAUCGGUGGGUUAUAUAGUUGGGUGCGCUCUCUUUGCCUGCAGGUUGAUAAUCAAGACAACAAGAUGCCGCGACCUGAAGAUAUAGCCUGGAAAUUCGUGCUUAGACUGGAGGGCAAGAGAUGGCGUUGUCCUUACUGCCAUAAAGAAUCCUCUGGAUCAGUCACAAGAGUGAAAAGUCACUUUCUUAAACAAGCAAAAGAAGGGAUUGCCUAUUGCACAAAAGUGCCAGAGCACAUACGAACACUAAUGGAAUUGUUACUCAAUCAUGAGGUGACUUUAGUACUUGUAGUAGCUACAUUAUCUGCUUGAGAAUAGUGCUAUGCGCACUAAGAAGAUGUAUAAAAAAUAGGGAUAAUAUAUGAUGGGGUGCGCUCUAUUUGCUUGCAGGUUCGUAACAAAGAGGAUAUAGCUUGGAAAUUCGUCAAUAGAUUGGAGGACAGCAAAUGGCGAUGUCAUUACUGCAGUGUAGAAUUCUCUGGAGACCUGACAGGACUGAAAGGUCACUUGCUUGGAGUCCCAAAUGAAGGGACUUCCAUUUGCACACAAGUGCUGGACCACGCAAGAGCACUAAUGCUGUUGUUACUCGAUGAGGUGGCUGAAGAAGAGAGCAGAGAGGUGGCUGAAGAACAGAGCAGAGAAGCCCACGGUCAAUCCUCCAUCGAACCAAAUUCCCGUGACAUGCCGAGUCAAGCUGAGGUGGCUGAAGAAGAGAUCAGAGAAGCCAACCGUCAAUUUUCCACGGAACCACAGUCGCCUGACAUGCUGUCUCCAGCUGUUCCUCGCUCAUCACAAAGCUUGGAAGAUAUAGAAAACUUAUUCACAACAACAGAGGGGGCGACCGACUUGGGAAACUUAGACUAUAACCUAGAGCGUCAAUUUUAUGAGACUUUGGCAAUGCCGCCACCGGCACAAAAUAUCCAUGGUAUGUUCAUGUGAAGUUUCCAUCGAUGCAUCUAGGCAUGGAGAAAAUAUAUCUAUUGUAUUUUUCAAUGCAAACGCGUCGGGUUUUUUUAACCAAAGUGGCGACUUUUAAAAAUCUUCUAUAAAAAUGAUCUUCCUACGGGACUUUCCAAAUGUGAAGAAAGUCAAUCACCUAUUCCUUAACAACAGUACGCAUUGAAUGUGUUGCAUGUGCCGAUCGGACCCACGGGAUGCAAUAAACUACAGUACGCAUUUUCUCGUGUUCCAAUCAGCCAUAUCCUAAUUUUGAUAAACAACACACAGGUGAAAGCUUGUCACGUUCAGCGAUGGCUUUAGCAGAAGGAGAAUCGUUUCUUCUUGAUUCGCCAUGUCAGCCACAAUGUUCCAAUCGAUCUCCUUAUCCCGAGGAAAUGCAAAUGAAUGACCACCGAACUCCAGCCGGGGCAUUAUCAUUCCAGUAUGUUCCAUUACCUGCUGUAGGUAAUUCAAAUUGCUUCCAGGACUGCAAUGACUCUCAAUUGCAAACUCCAGUGGACGUAAAUCCCUCAAUUACAUCACAGCGUACAAAUCACAUUACUGGGGCACAAAUCAAUGAUUCGAAAGUUCCAGAGGCGGCAACAAAUACAAUGGGCCCAUCAUCAUCACAAGGUUUGUAUGGAUUAAUCUACAUUGCUACUAUGGUUAUGUUAGAUCCUUGAAUAUCUCCAUAUUAUUUUAUCGAAAUCUAACAUAUGAUUUUUUAAACAAGAUAGGAACAUGGAUUAUCCAAUCAAGAACAUGCUGAGCAUCACUGCAUAUUCUAUAUGUCCGAUAUCACUUUUUAUCACAUUAUUACUUUCUUCAAAAUAUUUAACUCUAAUGCGGUCGUUACUCGAUGAGGUGGCUGAAGAAGAGAGCAGAGAGGUGGCUGAAGGACAGAGCAGAGAAGCCAACCGUCAAUCCUCCACAGAACCACAAUCACGUGACAUGCCCACUCAUGCUGAGGUGGAGGCUGAAGAAGAGAGCAGGGAAGCCAACGGUCAAUUUUCCACGGGGCCUUUAUUCUCACCAGGAUUCCUCCUCGAAGAUAUGGAACAGUUAAACUUCAGCCAACAGGAUGUCAUUUGGUUAAACUCUGCCCAACAAUCACAAACAGAGCGUCAGUUUCAUCAGAGUUCAACAAUGCCGUCACAGGUGCAAAAUAGCCAUGGUAUGUCCAUGUAAAGUUUUUAUACAUUCAUCCAGGCGUGGAGAAAAGAAAAAUCAUUAUAUUUUUCGUAUUAGUAACUCUCUCUAUAAUAACUCAAUUUCAUCCGCUUCCAUAUCGUAUCGAUUCCAAAUUACAGUUGUAUCAUCGCAUAUUCUAUAUGUCCGAUAUCAUUAUCUUUUUACCGCACCGUUUAUUUCAUCAAAAUAUUUACUUAUGAGCAUAUGUUGACUUUCGCUAUAAAUAUAUUUUUUUUAAAUCGAGUUCUAGACGUUCGUUUUACCUGUACCCAUGGCUUGAUUUAAAAGUCCCAUUGUUGAUUUAUUUUACGCUUGCCUUUUUUAGUGCAACCAGUUUUGGUGGCCCCUCAACAUCAAAAUGCUCCACAUCAAUCCGAGACAAGGAAUGUGCUGCAGAAUCCAACUGCACAAUCAUCAACAGCUCUAAGGGAUAUGGAUUUACGUAUCCAAUCUUCAUCGCAAGCUUCAAAUGCUGCUCCACAGUGGCCGACAGACGUUUCAAACUUCAACCAACAGGAUAUUAAUGAGCUAAACUCUGGUCAACAAUCACAAGCAGAGCGUCAAUUUCCUCAGAGUUCAACAAUGCCGUCACUGGCACAAAAUAGCCAUGGUAUGUUCAUGUGAAGUAUCUAUACAUUCAUCUAGGCGGGGAGAAAAACAUCUAUUAUAUUUUUCAACGCAAACACGUGGGAUUUUUUAACGGAAGUGGUGACUUUUAAAUAUCUCCGAUAAACAUGCUUUUUCCACACAACUUUUCAAAUAUGAAGAGAGUCAAUAACCUAUUCCUUAAUAACAGUACAUCCAAUGUGUUGCACGUGGCCACUAGACCCACUGGAUCCAGUAAACUAACUACAAUAAGUAUUCUCUCAUGUUCCAAUCAAUCAUAUCCUAAUUUUGAUGAACAACACACAGGCGAAAGUUCCACGAUGGCUUCAACGGAAGAAGUGCCGAAUUCUCAUAAUUUGCUAUGUCAACCACAUUGUUACAUUCAAUCUCAAAUACAAAUGAAUGACCAGCAUACAAGUGACUCUCACAUUAUUGAGCCAACAACGGUUGAUUCGCAAGUUCCAGAGGCGGCACCAAAUGCAACGGGCCCAUCCUCAUCACAAGGUGCGUUUGGAUUAAUCUUCAUUGUUACUAUAUGGUUCCACUAGAUUCUUAAAAAUCCCCAAAUUAUUUUAUCAAAAUCUAACAGAUGUUUUUUUAUAAAUUAGAUAUGAACAGGGGUUCUCCAGUCAUGGACGUACGGAGCAACUAUGCCAACGAUGAAGAGAUAAGAAACCUGAAAAGAAAAGUGGAAGAACUCGAUGACAAAGACGCUGUCAUAAAGGAGCAGAUGGAGAUAGAGUCUGCUGCUUCCUCACUUCGGAAGAAGCCGAGGAUAUUGGUUGAUAGAUGGCUAAAAGAGACAGAAAGAGCAAGAAAUAAUUUCCAAAUAAUUGGCCAAGCCAAUGCGGAAACUUUGCCACCAAAGGAACAGGUGGAGAAAUUGACGAGAGAAGUGGAAGAACUCAUAGGAAAAACGCUUCCACAACCACUGCUCAUAGAAGAGAGAGAUGCCAAAGGAGUCAAACUUUUGGAACGAAAGUUAACAGGUGAAGGGAUUCAUAGGAACAUUGAGUUGAUUUGGGACCGUCUGAAGGAGAAUCAUGCAUGCAAAUUGGGUAUUUAUGGAAUGGGUGGUGUUGGGAAGACAACUAUUAUGAUGCACAUACAUAAUAGACUUCUCGAAGAUGCAACCUUCGAUGGUGUGGUUUUUAUCACUGUGUCUCAAGAUUUCAGCAUUAAGAAGUUGCAGAGUGAUAUUUGGAAGGCAUUAAAAUGUGGCGUUAUGGAGGAUGAGGAUGAGAAGAAACAAGCAGCGAUAUUGUCGGAGCAUUUAGAAAGAAAGAAGAAUUGUGUAUUGAUUCUUGAUGAUGUGUGGGAACGUCUUGAUCUUGAAGAGGUGGGAAUCCCUGUUAGAGCUGAUGGAUGUAAGUUGAUCUUAACCAGUCGAUCCUAUUAUGUGUGCUGCCAGAUGCAAUGUCAAGAGAAGAUAAAAAUUAAACCUCUAUCUCAAAUAGAAGCCGAGAGUCUAUUUUUGGAGGAGCUUGGAUCCGAAGUUCCACUUAAUUCGGAAACUGAAGCAAUUGUGAAGUCCAUUGUUGAAGAAUGUGCUGGAUUGCCAAUUGGAGUCAUCACGAUGGCAAGAAGCAUGCGAGGAGUGACUGAUGUGUUUGAAUGGAGGGAUUCCUUGGUUAAAUUGGAAGAAUCAAGUAAGGGGCAAACAGAUAUGGAGAAGAAGGUCUUAAUGAAUCUAAAAUUUAGUUAUGAUCGCCUUGGUAAUCCUGAUGUGCAACAAUGCUUCUUAUCUUGUGCACUUUAUCCAGAAGAUGAAUUGAUUGAUAAGUUCGAGUUGGUAGAAUUCUUUAUUGACCAAGGAUUGAUUGGUGGAUUGAAUGCGUGGACAGAACAAUAUGAUAGAGGCCUCACCAUAUUGAACAAACUACGAAAUGUUUGCCUAUUGGAAGAUCAUGGGAGCGAGACGAAGAUGCACGAUUUGAUUAGAGACAUGGCAUUGCACAUCAUGAGUGCAACUUCCAUUGUAAAGGCAAGAAAGUGGUUGGAAAGUAUUCCAUCUGAGGAAUAUUGGACAGAUGCUUUGGAGAAAGUUUCUCUGAUGGGAAGCAAAAUAAGUGAAAUGUCACCAAAUUGUCCUAAACUAUCAACUUUACUACUGAAUGGAAGCUUGUUAGAGGAUGCGGUCCUCCCUGGUUCUUUCUUCAAACAGUUAUGUGGGCUAAAGGUCCUAAACCUGAGUGACUGUGAACUAACGGAACUUCCAAAUUCCAUCUCAGAUUUGGUAAACUUGAGGGCACUAUUGCUUAGAAGGUGUCGGGAAUUGUGCCAUAUUCCUUAUUUAGGCAAGCUCACAUCUUUAAGGAAGCUGGACGUUAGUGACUGUUUUGAGCUUGAAGAAGUGCCCGAGGGUCUGGAAAUGUUGGUGAACUUGAGAUACCUUGACCUAUGUUUUUCAUUGACCGUUGAAUUACCUAAAAUAAUACUGGGGGGUUUGCUAAACUUGCAGCAUCUUAAAGUUUAUUUUCUAGAUGGACAAGACAUGACAAAAUUGAGGGCACUGGAGACACUCAAAUGCUUUUUUGAAGAUGCGAAUGAUUUCAAUAAGUGUGUGAGGGUUAUUGAACAGAGUAACCUUCUCUGCUAUUAUUAUCUUUGUUAUUAUAUCGACAAAAAAUAUCAUGAUGAGGAAGAAUGUGAUAUUACUCAGGACAGGGAAGUCAAAAUUUGGGGGUGGGAUCAUGCUAUUGUGAGUGUGGGAGGGGAAUGCACCGGCAUUUUUAUUUUGAUUCCCCAAGACGUGCAGAAAAUGACGAUUUGUUGGAACGGUAUAACAAAUUUGUCUAGCAUAGGUCCGCUUGAAUACCUUGAGGAGCUAGAUAUAGAAGACUUAAACAACUUAGGGGUGCUCUGUGGAGGAGAAGACAAAGAAGUAAUCGACAUCUUUGCCCCAGCCCUUGCGCCUCUCCUCUUCUCGAGCCUUAGGGUUUUGAAAAUAUGGAGUUGUCCGGAACUGAAGUAUGUCUUUGGGCAUGGGUCUAAAUCCAACCUUCCACAUCUACGAGAGAUUGAAAUAGGGGGAUGUGAGGAGACGGUGGGGAUAAUAGCAGCAGUUACAUCCCCACCACCACAUCCGCUCCCAUUUUUCCCUAGUCUGGAACAGAUUAGCAUUACAGGCUGUUACGAGAUGAAGAGAGCGGUGGAAUCCGAGUGGAUGCCCCACUUCCCUAAUCUAAGAAGAAUCAAAGUAUCCGGAUGUGAGAUGGAGGAGAUAAUCGGAGGUCCUCCCCCAUACUCGCCGGAUGAACAGAUUUCUCUCGAAUCUCUUGAGGUAAGCUAUUGCGAUAAAAUGAGAAAGCUGCUUACGUAUGAGUGGCUGUUCCAUCUUCGAAAUCUUCAAAGUAUCUCUGUCACUUACUGCAAAGAAAUGGUGGAGUUGAUAAGCGGAGCGGGACAAGGCCAAGAAGGAAGCAUAACGACUUCUGUAAACAACACUCCUUCCUCCUUCCAGCCUUCUUCAAUUUCUCUCCCAAAGCUAGAGUGUUUGGAGCUACGCUAUCUACACCAGCUGAAGAGCAUAUGCGAAGUCCCAAUAAGCUGCGAUUUCAUGAAAAGAUUGGACGUGUGCAGAUGCCCAGAACUGAAGAGGAUUCCUUUGCAACUGCGAUUGUGUGAAAUUGAGGAGCUUCCGUAUAUUUUGGUGGAAGAUGAGGAAAAGUGGAAGACGUUGGUGUGGGAUCAUCCCAAUGCUCAGGCUAUUCUUCGACCUUAUCUCCGAAAAGGGCCACGCUGGCCUCCAAAUGCUAUAGGUUAAUGAGUUUAAUUGAUAUACGAUUGCUUCACUUCUUAAAAGUCCUUUCAAAGAUAUAGCUUUUCUGUCUAUAUAGUCAUGCAGCUCUAAUAGUGGCCUUCUGUAGUACUGAACACCAAGUGAAAGCAUCUCCUGCGACUCCACUCUUGAAGAAAGAACCCUGCUGCUCGACCAUGCUUUCCUGCAAACUUGACUCAGGUUGCCAUAUGAAUUGA
rnacentral:lncRNA from 1 species